GAUCAGUAAGGUCUCUAGUGAACUCAUCUCUCCAAAUCAAACAGCUUUUAUUCAAGGGAGGCUCAUCUCGGAUAAUACCAUUCUAACGGAUGAGAUGGUUCAUGGCUUUGGGAGAAAGAGAACUCCCAAGAGGUGUUGCUUGAGUAUAGAUCUUAAAAAAGCUUUUGACACAGUAUGUUGGGAGGCUAUAAUCGUCACCCUUGAAGCGUAUGGAUUUUCUCCUAUAUUCUGCAAAAUGAUUUGGAAUUGCAUAUCCUUUGCGUCAUUCUCGGUACUGGUGGAAGGGACUCCAACACUUCCCUUCAAAAGCCAGAGAGGGAUUAGGCAGGGUGAUCCUCUAUCUUCUAUUCUAUUUGACAUGGUUAUGGAUGUUCUAAGUAGAUUGAUACAGAGUGGAGUAAAGAACAAAAGAAUAGACAUUUAUCAGGUGAAUGGUGCUACUUUUAUAUCUCACCUCAUGUAUGUGGAUGAUAUCCUCAUCUUUUCAAAGGCAAACCCGAAAUCGCUUAAUGCAAUUAAGGCGGUGCUUGAGAAAUUCUCAUUGUUCUCAAGAUUAGAAGUAAAUGCGAGCAAGAGCUCCUCCACCUUCUCAAAAGUAUGUGCAGAAGACCAAUCUUUGCAUGAUAUCUUAGGAUAUACUGUUAAAAAUUUACCUAUAACAUAUCUAGGAUUACCAAUCACGAGAAAGAAAAGUCAUUUGGACAGUGCUAGAAAUUAAUCCAGUCAAUAGAGGCGCUCUUAGCAAGAUGGAGUGGAAAAUGUCUUUCCUAUGAAGGGAGAAUACAACUAGUUAACGGAUAAUAGCUGGAAAGUAUACUUAUUGGGCGCAAGGUAUGAUUAUCCCUGAUUCUGUGGCUAAGAAGGUGAGAAGGAUAGCAUAUAGAUUUAUAUGGGACGGAAGGAAAGGGAUCCCGUGGGCCCAAAUGAUCCUUCCCAAGGCGGAAGGGGGUCUAGGAGUUAGAGACCUAUCUAUUAUCACCACUGCAACCAAUAUUAAAAGAGCUUCAAAGUACUGGGAUAAAAGUGUCUCUAUUUUGGUAAAAUGGAUCCAAAAUAGGUAUAUUAAAGGAAAGGCGCUUAAUGAUAUACAAAUCAGGCCUACUGUGGAUUCGCAUUUCUGGAAAGUUUUUAUUUCAGAAAGGAAUCUAGUGGAUAAAUGUUUGGAUUGUAGGGCCAAUAAUACGAUUGUGUGGAGAUCUGAUACUCCGAUAAAUAAGUUGGGGGGAAUGGUGGAAAGUAUAAGAGAUAGAAAGCAUAAAGACAUGUUAGCUGAGGGAAUUUAGUCGAAGAUGCCGACAAAAUUCUCUAUUCUCUUGUGGAGGGUGAAAUGGGAUCACCUAAACACGUUCAGGAAGUUGAGAAGUUGGAGGGUACAAAUACCUCCUGUUUGCUUACUAUGCAAUCUGGAAGAUGAAACUAGGAAUCAUUUUUUCUUCAACUGUUCUUAUUCCAGAUCUCUUUUAAUUCCGUUGGCGGAGCACCUGAAUUUCACUUUCUGGAAAAUAAUGAAUAUUCCAGUUCCCACCCAAUCCAGUCUAGAUAUUAAAUUGGGGGAUCUGACGGAGGCAGCGCAAAAAAAUACGCACCACUCUCCCCCUUAGGAGUUACUAUCGAAUGCUAUUGGGUGUUUGUCGUGGCAUAUAUGAAUGCAAAGAAACAAAAGAUAUAGACAGCACGUGAAUAGGCCUCUUGAGGUAGUCUUUAAGGAGGUCAUUAAAGACAUCAGUCUCAUUUGAUUCACUGUAUUACAAGAAAAGUUGUUAUCACCCUUUGGAGACAUCUAUGAUGGAAGUAUGAGAGACCAACUUUCUGAGACAGCGUAUCUAGUUACUGUAUAACUAGACUACAUAGCUAAUGGGAGAGUUUCAAUGGGCUUUUGUUCAUUUCUUGCAUAGUUUAAAAAGCUACAAAGCGCUCAGCUUUGCCAAGGAGCGCUUUUUCAGCUUUGAGCGCUUUAGCGCACUGAAAGCUGAAAAAGCGAUAAUGGCAUUUUGGUAAAUAAAUGUAAUUUUUUAGAAAAUUGCAUAUAUACCCCUUUUUAUAUAUAUAUAUUUUUUAAACCUGUAAAUAUAUGAUAAAACAUAAAAUAUAUAUAAACCUGUAAAUAUAUGAUAAAAUAUAAAAUAUAUAUAAACCUGUAAAUAUUCAAGACAUCAUCCAAAAAAAAAAUUGAGGAUGGCCGGUUUGCCGGAUUCCGGCCAUCUUUUUUCCCCUUUUCAGACGGUCCGAAGGUAGAGAAAUUGAUGGAAAAGUUGAGGACAUUCAUACCACUAGUAGGCAUGAAGAUCAGAGGAGAAAAACGGCCGAAGAAAGGAAGCUCUGGCGAGGUCAGGCGGCGGCUCUAGGGUUUUGGUAGAAAAAAAGUGAGUGAUAAAAAGAAAUUAGGGUUUUAUUAGAAGAGUAUUGGAUUUAUAUAGUUAGAUAGAAAUGGAGGGGUAGGAAGGGAAAUUAAAACCCGACCUGACCCGAAAAUCCGGCCAGAAAAAGCGAUUGGGAAAGCACUUUCCCGCUUAAAACUAAAAAGCGUCGCUUUUUAAUCUAUGAUUUCUUGUGCUUCUGUUUUAUUUCUAUACUUUUUUUUUUGUAAAUUGAGCAUUGCCCUUAUUUUUUAAAAUAAAAAAUUUAAUUGCUUCAAAAAAAAAAUACAAACAAAGUUCUAUUAAUAGUCAUAUCAUAUGUAAACAUAAUAUUUAAACAGGACUAGCUUCUACUAAAAUUAAAGAAAAUGACAUAAUAGAUCAUAACAAUCAAUGCAUAAUCUCAAGAUUGGGAAAAUAGCAAAAAGAUGGAUAUGGGACAUGGACGGUCAGAAUGUAAUUAUCUUAUUUUUAUUAUCUCAUAGGAAGUGUACUCUAUUUAAACAUAUAGAAAGUUCAUGUAAAUAAAAUAUAGAGUUUCAGUGAUUGCAGGAGUAGCUGGACGUCGCUGUAGGAGAAGAUGGUGGUCUAGGAUUUUUUGUUUGUACAGCGGAAGGAUUUUAUAUCCAAUCCAUUUUAUUUCUUAAAAUAAAACACUAUUUGCCAGCACAUUCUUCCUUAGUUGUAUGAUGAGGGUGACUUGCUCACUCUCACUCUAAGAUGUUUUCUUUUCCUCAUUUCAUCAAAAGUCCCUUCAUUAAUUAUGAUUCUAUUUAUACAAGUUCCUACGGGCCAUGGGCCGUGCCGUGCCCGACGAGGUUGUGGACUGGACCCAAAUGGGCUCAGUCCACUAAAGAUGGGAUAAUCACUGUGUAUCCAGACAAAUGUGCACAAUAUGUGUCUAUUUGCAUCUUUUACAACCAUGACAUCUAUACCCUAGUAUGCCAAUGUACAGAUGGCUUGCACCACACGUCAGGAUAUUUUAAACCUUGUUAUCAGCCAAUAUUCUAGCUACCAGAAGCAAAGCUUUCAGAAACCUUCAAAUGGACACAUCAAGUAGGCUGGAUGGAGGGAAGGGACUCAUAAGACGUUCAAGACAUGGAUGGUCCCAUAAUUAUUGGUGAAUUUCCAGUCACCCAAGAAGGUCGCACAUUUAGAUUACAUUUGAAGAAUAGUUAACAAGCUUUUAAAAAAUGUAUUUAAUGUGAAUGGAAUUACCUGAGCAAAACCACGUAAACUAUGGUGAUGAGAAGUCAAUAAUGGAAUUAUAGGUGGCAGUAGGUCAUUCAAAUGAGAUAACUGCAUUGAGACCUCACUGGCAUGGAGUAUUAAAUUGGCAGAUAUGAAAACAUAGGAAGACAGAGCCUGCAAUCACUAACAAAAUAUCGUAAACAAAUUCAAUAAAUAAAAAUGACAAUAAAAAAACAUACCUGAGGGCGCAUAUUAUAAUCACGCAGUAUGGGAACUAAUUGCUUCUGUAUCUGUAAUUUGAAAGAAAAGAAUUUUUGUAUGAAACUAAAUUUAUAAUAGACUUAAGAUGGCUUUUAAACCAGGGAGUUGGUUACUAUUACUAUCCGAGAAAGGACUUCAUAGUUCAUAUCAUUGGUUCUUUUGUUUGAAAUACAAUAUUUUUUUUGAUGAAUUAAAAUUUUCAUUACUGAAACUGAAAGUAGAGUAGGGCAAUGCCCAAGAUUACAAAUGUAGGGAAAUGCAAAUACAUAAGAUAUAAAUAUAUAAAUAAAAAUAUGUAAAAGCAUUGUCGCUCUCUUAUACAACUGUGACCAUGACUAACUAGCUAGAGAGUAAAGAGGCGCCUGGUGUAUUGGUAGUUAAAGUAAAGAUGUUACAUUGUCUCCUCCUCCAGCCCACAUAGAGUUCAAAUCUUGUACGAUACCCUUAGGCCUUAGUCUUUCAGAGUGUUUGGAAGGAUCUGUUUGAAGAGUCCUAUAGUUUUUUUUUUUGAGAAAUUAAAGCUUUCAUUACUGAAAAAGGAGGUUAGGCAUAGUCCAAGAUUACAGAUAUAGGGAAAUGCAAGUACAGUAAAUGUAAAAACAUUAAAUGUAAAACAUUGUCUAUCUCUUAUGCAGUUGUGGCCCUGACUAACUAGCCAAAGACUGAAGCCUUAAGAGGUUGGACUCCCAUGAGUGUAUAGCUUGUAUUUCAAUCUGUAAAAGAUUGUGCUUCUUAUAGGAUGUAGAUUCAUAUGCAAUGCUCACAUCCUUUAUAAUUUUUCUGCUGACAAUUUCUAGGGGCCUUAGAGUGUGUUGUUUUAAUCUUCUAUUCCUUUCACACCAUAUUUUUUUUUUUUUUUUUUUUUUUUGAAGCAAUUAAAUUUCAUUAGAAUAAGGCUAAUGCCAAGUUUACAAAAUAGGGAAUAGGAAUAAAAUAGAAGUAAAAAAGAAAUGAGCAAAAAUGCAAAAUGCUCAUUGACUCUCUCCCAUUAGCUAUGUAGUCUAGUUAUACAGUAACUAGAUACGCUGCCUCAGAAGGUUGGUCUCCCAUACUUCCAUCAUAGAUAUCUCCAAAGGGUGACAACAGCUCUUCUUGUAAUACACUGAAUCAAAGGAGAGACUGAUGUCUUUAAUGACCUCCUUAAGGACUACCUCAGGAGGUCUACUAAUGUGCUGNNNNNNNNNNNNNNNNNNNNNNNNNNNNNNNNNNNNNNNNNNNNNNNNNNNNNNNNNNNNNNNNNNNNNNNNNNNNNNNNNNNNNNNNNNNNNNNNNNNNNNNNNNNNNNNNNNNNNNNNNNNNNNNNNNNNNNNNNNNNNNNNNNNNNNNNNNNNNNNNNNNNNNNNNNNNNNNNNNNNNNNNNNNNNNNNNNNNNNNNNNNNNNNNNNNNNNNNNNNNNNNNNNNNNNNNNNNNNNNNNNNNNNNNNNNNNNNNNNNNNNNNNNNUAUCAUUAAACGCCUUUCCUUUAAUAUACCUAUCUUGGAUCCAUUUUACCAGAAUAGAAUCGCUCUUAUCCCAGUACUUUGAAGCUCUUUUAAUAUUGGUUGCAGUGGUGAUAAUAGGAAGGUCUCUAACCCCUAGACCCCCUUCCGACUUGGGAAGGAUCAUUUGGGCCCACGGGAUCCCUUUCCUUCCAUCCCAUAUAAAUCUAUAAGCCAACCUUCUCACCUUCUUAGCCACAGAAUCAGGGAUAGUCAUACCUUGCGCCCAAUAAGUAUACUUUCCGGCUAUAAUCCAGUUAACUAAUUGUAUUCUACUUUCACACCAUAUAUGUCAGGAAAGAGAUGCUAGCAUAGUCCAGUGUACCCCCCAACAACUGGACUUGUGGGUGAAUUUUUGUAUUGUUUCCAUAAUAUCCCCUAUCCUAAUAUCUAUUGCGGGAGGUGGGGGAUUUUGCCAACUAAGUGUCCAAACAGCAUUGUUAAGACAGCUAGUGGACUCUAGCAAUAGAGAGAUCUAGUGUAAUGAUAGUUAAAGUAUAGAUGUUGUGAUGUUUCUUCCUCACUUCCACAUAGUGGGCAGGACGUAUUUAUGUUGAGUCCCCAGCUUUGUAGUCUAGCUAAUGUAUUCAGACUCUUGAACUUAAUUCUCCAUAACAACAUGGAGAAUUUGGGAGGCUUUUUGGCCCAGAUCCCUAGAUUUAUCUCUUGUAAGAUGCCUUUGGGUCUUAAUGUUUCUGAGUGCUUAGAGGGGGCAAUUUGCGUGACCCUAUAAUUACUCAGGCAAUUUAUACAUUUCUCUAUUGUUUCCUUAUUAGCUAGUAUUGUUUUCGACAUGUGAGAGUCCAGAGUAGGUCUACACUCUAUUUCCCCAAUAUUUUUUCCUUUGAAUCCUUUGAUGUACCUAAUUUUUAUCCAGUCUGCUAGGAUGGGGUUAUUAGGACUCCACAUCCUCUUUGCUCUUUUGACCAAUGCUGCAACAUUAGUUGCAAAGAAAUCCCUGACCCCUAUUCCACCUUCGCUCUUUGGGAGUGUUAUUUUUUCCCAGCUACAUCUUCUCCCGUCCCAGAUGAAGUUAUAGGCUAGGCUCUGUACCUUUUUAAUAAUUGUGCAUGGCAGUGUGAUUCCGUUUGCCCAGUAUUGAAACUUAUCAUGUAAGACCCAAUUCACUAAUUGAGUUCUGCCUGCGUAAGACAAACAUCUCCCCUUUCAUCUGGCUAGCAUUUUUUCUAUUGGGUUUAUCAACUUCCAACAUGUCGCUUGGGUUUUCUUUUUUCCCGUUAUGGGGAGACCAAGAUAGCUGAUAGGGAUGGAUUUAGUUAGGAAGUUGAGGAUGUUAUGUAGAGAAUGGUCAUUCAUACAUAUUUUUGAGUAGGUUGCUGAGUUCUUCUCCUAAUUAAUCUCGAGACCUGAGAAUUUGGAAAAAGUCUCUAGAAUUUUCUUGAUUGUUUUUAGAGCUGAUAUGUAAGGAUCGACUAUGGGUUGUGAUGAUGAAUUAAUUCCUAGAUUCCACCGGAGAUUAAUCGAUCACAGAUCUGGAUUCCACCAGCAGAUAAAACAGUAGAAGAUGAAGAGAAAACGAGAAGAAAAAAGAGAAGAGAGAGAGAGUAAAAGUACCUUAAAAAUCAGAAAAUAUAUGACCCUUUAUUUUCCCGCCUUAGCUUUAUUUAUAAUAGCAUCUCAACAGGUGGAAGGGAACCUGGUGAGAUGAGCCCAAGGCUUUUAAUUAAGAGUAAUUGUGCUCCUUGCCGCAGCAAGGGCACAAUUGGGAUUAACCCGAUUAGGAUGUACUACAUCAGGUGACCUCUCUUUAGCAACAUUUGUCCUCAAAUGUUCAACUUGCUCUGAAUCUGGUGGAUAGUACUUCCUGAGGUCAGAAAUAUUGAAAGUAGAUGACAUAUUAAACUCCUCUGGAAGAUCCACUAUAUAUGCAUUUUCAUUUAUUUUUUUCAAAAUCUGACAUGGCCCAAAAUUUCUAUUCUUCAGCUUGGAGUAACUUCCAGCAGGGAAACGACCUUUUUUUAGAUGCACCAUUACAAAUUCUCCUUCACUCAGAUUAAGUUCUCUUUUAGAUUUAUCAGCAUGUUGUUUGUACUUGGCAUUUGCCUCUCUAAUAUUUUUAUGAACCCAUUCAUGAAUAUCUUUCAGACUCUGUAACAUUUCUCCCACCUUGGGAACUGAAUUGUUGUAUUCCCUCAUGUCUACUAGCUGUUGAGGUAGCUUUCCAUACACUGUAAAAAAUGGGGCUGCUUUUGUAGAUCUAUUGGGCAUAGAGUUGAAAGCAAAUUCUGCCUGAGCUAGGCUUUUAUCCCACUGUUUGGGGUGUGAACCAGCUAGUAGCCUUAAUAAAUUCCCCAAAGAACGAUUGACUACUUCAGUCUGUCCAUCAGUCUGCGGAUGACAGGUUGUGCUAAAUUUUAGAGAAGUGUCUAGUCUUUUCCACAAUUCCUUUCAGAAAUGAGACAAGAAUUUUGUAUCCCUAUCUGAAGUGAUUGAUUUUGGGAUUCCAUGGAGUCUUACUAUCUCGCUGAAAAAUAGACUAGCAACUUGGCUAGCAUCAUUAGUGCGUUUGCAAGGUAAGAAAUAUGCCAUUUUAGAAAAUCUAUCUACUACAACUAAGAUAAAAUCCAUGCCUUUCUGAGUUCUUGGCAGGCUAGUUACAAACUCCACAGACACAUCAGUCCAAGGAGAAGAAGGGACUGGCAAUGGUAAAUAAAGUCCUGUAUUUUGAGAAUUUCCUUUAACCUCUUGACAAAUUUGGCAUCUCUGUACAAACUUUGUCACAUCUUUUUUUAGUUGUGACCAAUAGUAUCUUGAUUCAACUUGCAAAAUGAUUUUGUCUCUGCCAAAGUGUCCACUUAGCCCACUUCUGUGAAUUUCCUGCAUUAUCUGUAAUCUCACGAAUCCUCUGGGAAUGCACAGUCUAUGAUCAAAGAAUAAAAAUCCCUGUUGUAAUUUAAAUCUGGUCAUAUCAGCACUUGUUGAAUAAGCUUUCUACUGCUCAGAAAAAUCCUCAUUUGUUCUGUACAACUCUUUAAGUUCCCCAAAAGCUGGUACUGAUGUAUGCAGAAUUGUUAACAAGGAGUUCCUCCUACUCAAGGCAUCAGCCACCUUGUUUCUCUCUCCUGCUCUAUGUUGAAUAGAAAAGACAAACCUUUGUAAGUAAGCAAACUACCUGGCAUGCAUUCUAUUUGAGUUUGUCGGGUUGUUGAUUUGUCUGAGAGCUAAGUGAUCUGUGUGGAGUAUGAAUUCUCUAUGAAGUAGUGCUCCCAAUGCUGACAUGCUUUCACCACAGCAUAUAACUCUUGUUUAUAAGUUGUCCAUUUCCUCCUUCAGCUAAUUUCUCACUGAAAUAGGCCACUGGGUGACCUACUUGUAAUAAAACAGCUCCUACUCCACUGAUGCAGGCAUCACACUCAAUUUCAAAUAGUACCUCAAAAUUAGGCAGUGCUAGCACAGGUGUUGUUUUCAACUUUUCUUUUAAUUUUUCAAAACUGUUUUGUGCUUCAUCAGUCCAUUGAAAUGCUCCUUUUUUGAGGAAAUCUGUUAUAGGUGCAGUCACAGCUCCAAAGUUUUUUAUGAAUUUUCUGUAAAAAGAAGCUAAACCUAUAAAACUUCUUGUUUCUGUGAUGUUUGAAGGGGGGGGGGCACUUCUCCAAAGCACUUGUUUUCUCUGGGUCCAUUUUGACUCCAUCCUUUCCUACUACAAAUCCCAAAAACAGUACUUGUUCCACCAUGAAUAUACAUUUUUUUUAAUUCAACUUUAACUUUUGUUUCUGCAAUGCUUCUAAAACCAGUCUUAAAUGUUGAAGAUGUUUGGACUGAUUUUUACUAUAAAUGAGUAUGUCAUCAAAGUAGACUACUACACAUUUUCCAAAGAAAGGUUGAAGUACCUGAGUCAUUAACCUCGUAAAGGUACUUGGGGCAUUAGAUAACCCAAAAGGCAUCACUAGCCAUUCAAACAAACCAUGCUUUGUUUUGAAUGCUGUUUUCCACUCAUCUCCAGCUCUUAUACGGAUUUGAUGAUACCCACUCUUCAAAUCAAGUUUAGAAAAUAUUGUGGACCCUGCUAAAUCAUCCAGAAGGUCAUCUAUCCUUGGAAUUGGGAACCUGUACUUGAUUGUAAUUCUGUUUAUUGCUCUACUGUCCACACACAUUCUAUAUUCUCCAUUUUUUUUGGGGACUAGAAGUGCAGGCGCUGCACAUGGACUUUUACUCAUUUUUAUAAGUCCAGAUUUUAAUAACUCCUCUACUUGUUCAUGCAGAAUAAUUGACUCUCUAGGGCUGAGUCUGUAAUGUGGAAGGUUUGGUAAUGCUGAGCCAGGAACUAGAUCAAUUUGGUGUUAAACAUCUCUUUCUGGUGGCAAUCUAGUAGAUAAUUCAUCACUUGUACACAGAAAAUUCUGUUAGCAUUUUUUUUCACUUUUUCUGGAAUUUUCUGACUUUGGACAACUCCUUGACAAUGCAGAACUACUGCUAAACCUCCUCCCACUUGAUUAACUGAUUCAGUAAAUGCUGACCUGUUUUGUAGAAGAAAAUUAGCCUCUCUUUGUUUAGAGUAUGUUUCAGAAGGCAGUGGGAUUAAAGUAAUUCUUCUCUCCCUCACCUGAAUAAUAUAUUGGUUUUGUUUUCCUCUAUAAAUUGCUUCUUUAUCAUACUGCCAUGGUCUGCCUAAAAUUAUGUGUGUGGCAUCCAUGUCGACCACAUCACAUUUGAUGCUCUCAGAAUAAGACUUCCCAAUAGACACUGGAACUGAACAAGUUUGGGUUACCUUAGCUGCCUCUCUCAACUUAAUCCAUCCAAGUUGAUAAGGAUGUGGGUGAACCUCCAAGUGUAACUUCAAGGCAGCAACUGCCUUAGCUGAAAUUAAGUUAUCUGUGCUCCCAUUGUCUAUUAUAAUAUCCACUGUUUUCCCUUUUACUGUACCUCUGGUUUUAAAAAGAUUAUACCUCUGAGAUCCCUCUGUAAUUUUUGGGUUGAGGUACACUCUGUGUAAUACACACACCAGCCUUUUCCCCUCAUCUGGUUCUAGUUCCUCCUCUUCAUACCCAUUUUCUGGAUCAAUAGGUACUUCAGUUUCUUCAUCACAUCUAUCACAGACAUGUACUCUUUUAAGUGGGCACACAUUUGCCUUGUGACCCAUAGCUUGGCACUUGUAGCACUUGAUCAAACUAGGUCUGCCAUAUGGAUCCAAUGGAACAUCUGGUUUAUUAAGAGGAGUUUCUAACAAGGGUGCUUUGUUUCUGGGCUCCUUGUAAGAGGGACCAGAUCCAACCGAUGGUUCACCUCCCUUGCUAGAUGUUGAAUUAUAAGUUGCAUACCUAGAAGAAGAGACUGCUGAUUUCUCAAUUCUCUCAGCCAUGUUAAUUGCAUCUGCUAGGUCGGAUAUUGUGUGUAAUAGUAUCUUCUCUUGUAUCCACAUUUUCAGACCUCCAACAAAACGAGCUAUCAUCUGGUCCUCCGAUUCUUCUAAGACAUUUCUUGAUGCUAAUCUGUGGAAUUCCAUUGUGUAAUCCUCUACUGUUCUCACACCUUGACGGCAGUUCUGAUAUUGUGUGAAGAGGACCCUCUGAUAAUCCUUAGGAAGAAAUCGAUUGCGAUUUAUUUCUUCACUUUUGGCCAGCUCUUGAUUGCUCUCUUUUGCUGUCUAGCUCGAGAAGUAAUUGUCUGCUCCCACCAUGCUGAUGCUGCAGCCUUUAACCUCACACUAACCAGCUUGAUUUUUUUGUUUUCCGGUAUUUCCAUGACUUCAAAAAAUCUUUCAAUAUCCGUAAGCCAAUCUAGCACUUCUUCUAUUCUCAUGAUCCCAUUAAACAGAAGUAUUUCCAUCCUCAAUCUGUAUUUUCCAUACUCAUUUUCAAAUGGUCUUGGAGCUCUAUGGACAUUGUGCUCCUCUUGCCGAUAAUUGUCAAAAAAAUUUGACGAUUAUUACCAUCGCGGUGCUGGUAAUGGAUUCCCUGUCCUUCUUCCUCGUGCAUUUUGUGAGGUGGAGGAUCCCACUCAUCUGACUCAGACGAUGAUGAUACUUGCAGGUGACGUGGAUUGCGACUGGUACUUGACCGAUUUGUGGAAUGUUGUGGUUGAUCUAUCCAUAGUUCAAAAAGCGGAAAAGCGGUCAGCUUUUUCAGGUUCCGCUUUUUCAGCUUUGAGCGCUUUAGCGCGCUUAAAGCUGAAAAAGCGAUAAUGGCAUUAUUGUAAAUAAAUGUUUUUUUUUAAAUUGCAUAUAUACCCCCUGUUUAUAUAUAUAUUUCUUAAACCUGUAAAUAUAUGAUAAAAUCAUAAAAUAUAAAAUAUAUAUAAACCUGUAAUUAUUCAAGACAUCAUCCAAAUUAUUUGAAAAACAUUUACAAGUCAUAUAACCUAAUCAUCUAGACGAGCACCAAUAUCUAUAUUAUCUCUAAAAAUUUCUUCCAUUUCAUUAGAGUGAUAAAGGAAAUUAGGGUUUUAUUAGAAGGGUAUUGAGUUUAUAUAGUUAGAUAGAAAUUGGAGGGGUAGGAAGGGAAAUUAAAAUAGUUUAAGUUAUUUCACAUGGGUAAUGGGUUGCCCCAACCCAAUAACCCAACCCGACACGACCCGAUAACCCGCCCAAAAAAAGCGAUUGGGAAAGCACUCCUCCAGGAGCGCUUUUCCGCUUAAAGCUAAAAAAGCGACGCUUUAAGCGUCGCUUUUUAAACUAUGGAUCUAUCACCACUCUUCUCACUGUUUGUGAGAGUGUUUCCACCACUGUUGUUAAUUCUGAAAGAGAUUUUCUAAGAUCAUCCAGAUCUUUUCUAGUGACAACGUCAAGGUUCCGGAUGCGCCGCCACCUGAAGCAUCUGAGCAUAUGCGCUCAGAUGCGCCAGUGUCAUUUUCGUAAAUAUUUAUAAAACUAUAGAAAAUUAAUAUUUUUUUAUAUAUCUAAAUUAUAUUAAUUAAGUUUUUUAGUUAAAAAUAUAUUGGAUAGAAAAAUUAUUAUAAUACAUAUAUUUAUUAACUAUUAUAACACCCUAUAAUUCAUUGUAACACCAAGGUUUAAAAACCGGUUAACCAUUUAGGGGUAUUUUCGUAAUAAUAUAGCUCUAUAAAUAGCUAGGGUUUCUUUAAACUUAUAAAAGAGAGGCUUUUAUAAAAAGAAAAUAAUAAAUAACCCAAGAGGCUUUUAAAAAAUAAUAACGUAAUGGGCUGGGCCUUCUUUAAUACAUCUACAACAUAAAAAAUACUCUAUAAUAAUAAUUUAUUUAACCACACUUUUUUAGUCCCACAUCGAUAGAAUUCAAAAAACACAAAGAAGGUUGGUCUAUAUAAAAGAUUCAUUUUGUCUAAAACAAAUAUGAAGUCUAAAGAGUGGGAGGAGCUUAUAUUAAAAAUAAUAUAGCUCUUUUCAUGAACCAAUGUAUAAAUUUUUAUGCUAAAAAUUUAUAAAGUCUUAAAAUAAAAAAAAAUUGGCCUUUUUUUUAAAAUAAAAACAAAACAAUGUUUUAAGUUAUUUAAAUAACUUAAAACAGGCCUGGAUCCGGGUCGGAUUUUACCCGGAUCCGGCUAAGGGAGAUGCGCCUGGCGCAUCUCCCUCUGGGGGCGCAUCAUCGCAUAUGCGCGCGCACCCAGAACCUUGGACAACGUCCGACAUUUCUAGGAGCGUCAGCCUUGAUUUUUUUUUUACUGUUCCGCGAUGAACAAUAGCCCCGAAAACACUGUUCCGAAAACCUGUUCUGAUACCACCUGAUAUAGUCGAUCUGUAAGGAUCGGCUGUUGUGAUGAUGAAUUAAUUCCUGGAUUCCACCGGAGAUUAAUCGAUCACAGAUCUGGAUUCCACCAGCAGAUAAAACAGUAGAAGAUGAAGAGAAAACGAGAAGAAAAAAGAGAAGAGAGAGAGAGUAAAAGUACCUUUAAAAUCAGAAAAUAUAUGACCCUUUAUUUCCCUUCCUUAGCUUUAUUUAUAAUAGCAUCUCAACAGGUGGAAGGGAACCUGGUGAGAUGAGCCCAAGGCUUUAAUUAAGAGUAAUUGUUCUCCUUGCCACAGCAAGGGCACAAUUGGGAUUAACCCGAUUAGGAUGUACUACAUCAGAUUGGGAUUUGUCUUUGAGAAGAUCAGCACAUCAUCUGCGUAGAUGAGAUGUGAAAUGGAAACCGCUCCAUUCACGAUAUAAGUAUCCAUCCUCUUAUCCUUGAUCUCUUUCUCUAUUAGUCUGCUAAGGUUGUCCAUUACCAGGUCGAAUAAGAUAAGAGACAAUGGGUCUCCCUGCCUGAUUCCUCUAAAAUUGGUGAAGGGGAGAGUGAGGGAUCCCUCAACUAGUACCGAGAAGCAAGGUUCCGGGUGCGUGCGCAUAUGCGUCGGAUCCAGGCCUGUUUUAAGUUAUUUAAAUAACUUUAAAAAAAGGCCAAAAAAAAAUUUAUUUUAAGACCUUAUAAAAUGGUCCAUAGAAAGAGCUAUAUUAGUUUUAAUAUAAGCUCUUCCCACUCUUAAGACUUCAUAUUUGUUUUAUACAAAAUAAAUCUUUAUUUAUAGACUAAUCUUUUCUGUGUUUUUUAAAUUCUAUCGAUGUGAGACUAAAAAAAUGUAGUUAAAUAAAUUAUUCUUAUAAAGUAUUUUUGAUGUUAUAGAUGUAUUUAAGAAGACCCAGUCCAUUGGGUUAUUAUUUUUUAAAAGCCUCUUGGGUUAUUUAUUAUUUUCUUUUUAUAAAAACCUCUCUUUUAUAAGUUUAAAGAAACCUUAGUCAUUUAAAGAGCUAUAUUAUUACGAAAAUACCCCUACCGGUUAACCAUUGGUUAACCUGUUUUUAAACCUUGGUGUUACAAUGAAUUAUAGGGUGUUAUAACAAUUAAUAAAUAUAUGUAUUAUAAUAAUUUUUCUAUCCAAUAUAUUUUUAACUAAAAAAUUUAAUUGAUUUAGUUAUAUAAAAAAAUAUAUGAAUUUCCUUUAGUUUUAUAUAUAUUUACGAAAAUGCCAUUAGCGCAUAUGCUCAAGUGCUUCAGGUGGUAGCGCAUCGCGCAUCUGAAACCUUGUCGAGAAGGAGGCUGUGGAUAUACAGUUGUGUACCAAUCUGCACAACAGAGGGUUGAAUCCCAUUGCGUCAAGGGUGUGUGUGAUUGCUUACCAUUUCACUGUAUCAAAAGCCUUCUUGAUCGAGGUCAAUACUUAGACAACAUCUUUUGGAGGUUCUAAUUCUCCCGAAUCCAUGUACCAUCUCAUUUGCCAAUAUUAUGUUAUCUGAGAUGUUUCUUCCUGCUAUAAAAGUUGUUUUGUGAGGGGAUAUUAACUCGAAGGAGACCUUGGAGAUUCUGUCAGCCAAAAUUUUGGUGAAAUGUUUGUAAAUUAAGUUGACACAAGAGAUUGGCCGAAAGUCCGAUAGUUCAGUAGCUGUGGGUUUUUUGGGGAUUAGUGUGAUAAAUGUGUGAUUGACCGACUUCAAUAUGGGUUUGCCGUUGAAGAACUGUUUGACAAAAGUUAGGAUUGUUUGUUUUAGUUCCGGCCAGAGAGCUUUGAAGAAGCCCACUGUGAAACCAUCAGGUCCUGGAGAUUUCCCCAUUUGAAAUACGAACAACGUGGAUUUAACUUCCUCUUCUGUGGGUUGUUGAGUCAACCAUGUGUUCAUAUCUUGAGAUACAAUCCUAGGAAAAAUAACGGGUGUUGAGAUAUCUGGGAAGGGAGAACACUUGUAAAUAUCCUUGAAGUAAUCCAUACUCCUUUUUUCCAAUUGGGCCCUUGAGAUGACUACCCUACCCUCUCCAUUUAUUAAUUUAAGCGUUGAGUUUUUUGCCUUCCUUAACGUUGUAGCAAGACUAAAGAACUUGGUGUUUGUCACCUAAUCUAAGCCAGCUGACCUUGCUCCUCUGUUUGUGGUUAGCCUCCUCAGUUUUGAGUUUAUUGACUAACUCCUCCUGCUUUCUUUUGACCUUUUCUUGGAUAGAAGGGGCUAUUGGGUUGGUGUGUUUAGUUGCUUCAUUAGGGAAUCGAGAUCCUCCCUAGUGGUUGUGAUCUGUUUUGCAUCACUACCCUUGGCCGUCGCCCAAUACUUUGCGAGUAAUUUGACAUUUUGACUUCUUUUAAUUUUUGUUGUAGGCAAUAUAGCCCAUUGCCGCAGAUCAGCUUUGCUAUUCCUCUCCUGGCUAGGUCGAGGAACUCUUGCUCCUUCAACCAUGAAUCGAACAAUCUGAAAGGCUUUGGUUUCUGUGCCAUUUGUGCAAUUGAGAUGAGCAUUGUGGCAUGGUCACUAUAAGAGUCAUUCCAAAACUCUACCCUUAUCUCUGGGAAGAGUGUAAUCCAUUUUUUAUUCGAGAAUGCUCUGUCCAGUCUGGAUUGUACAAACCUAUCCCCUACCUGCUUAUUAUUCCAUGUGAAUUCCCCCUAUUGAGAGGACCUCGAUCAACUCUGCUAGGUCGGUAGCUUCAAUGAAUUCAAUAGGCCCUCCAUGAGUAUAAACUCCCACCCCAAGUCCUCUCCUUUCCUCUGAAGUUCUUAUUUCAUUGAAAUCACCCAACACUAGCCAUGGGUAGGAGUUGAUAUUAGGUUGGAUGACCUUAAUUACGUCCUACAGAGGUCUCCUACCUUCCCUUGUGUUGCUUGCAUAAACUACUGAGAUAAAAAACACCAAUCCUCCUUCGUUGUAUACCUUAGCAUGAAGUAUCUGCUAAUCUACCUAUCCAACAGGAUUGGUGCCACCUUCCAUUGGUCUUUUUUCCAUAAAAUCCAGAUUGAGUCUGAAUAUUCUGGGUCCUGCGGGAUGUUAAUUUCCUAGGUGGCCUUUUUUUUUAAGCAAUUAAAAUUUUUAUUUAAAAAAAUAAGGGCAAUGCCCAAUUUACAAAUAAAAAGAGUAUAAAAAUAAAAAAGGUACAAGAAAUGAACAAAAGCCCAUUGACACUCUCCCAUUAGCUAUGUAGUCUAGUUAUACAGUAACUAGAUACCCUCAGGAGGUUGGUCUCCCAUACUUCCAUCAUAGAUGUCUCCAAAGGGUGUGAACAGUUUUUCUUGUAAUACACUGAAUCAAAUGAGAGAUUGAUGUCUUUAAUGACCUCCUUAAGGACUGCCUCAGGAGGCCUCUUAUCAUUCUUUUGGUGUGCUCUAUAGCAUCUUUCUCCGGGAAAAACCAUUCAUCGGAUGAUCGAGUAAUUAAAAUUUUUUGUUCCUAUGCAAUCAAUUCCUGGUGUUCUGCAUUGGCCAGGAGCAAAGAGACUGUGAGGUGCUUCUCCGGCCAGAUGAGCCUCGUCGGAGAAAUCUGUGGUGGCUCCCUAACAACUCCCUCCUAAACCUUGUCACUGUACUGUGAAGCCUCCCAAUCGCGAUGAAAAAAUGGCAGACAGGAAAAAUGGCAGACAAGAACGCGAUGAUAAAGAUCAGUUCCACAUCGUAUGAUGAAAAAAUGGCAGACAGGAAGGCCCUCCAGAACGCGAGCUGACCCUCCCGCAAAAACCCUCACGACCAGGCCCUCCUGCAAAAAAACCUCACGAGCAGUUUUCCGGAACGCGCGUUGACCCUCCUGCAAAAGCCCUCGCGAGCAGUAGACUGUGAUCUUUCCGGAACGCGAGGAUCGUCUGACACGAUCGCAAGCAGAUGCGAGCAGACUCGAUCGCGUGGGCUUCACUCCCAAGCAGAUCGCGUGGUCAUAACCCUGAGAUACCUCAUUUUAAGAGUCCUAUAGUUGCUCAGGCAAUUGAUGCACUUAUCUAUUAAAUCUCUGUUGGCUAUGAUUGUUUUCCAUAUAUGGGAAUCUAAGGUGGAUCUAAUCUCAAUUUCCUCUAGCACUCUACCUUUUAUAUAUCUAAUUUUGACCCAGUCUACUAGGAUAAAGGUGUUUGGACUCCAUAUUUUUUCUCCUCUUUUCACCAGAGUUGUUGCAUUAGUGGCAAAGAAGUUUUUAACCCCAAUCCCACCUUCCUUCUUUGGGAGAGCCAUCUUUUCCCAACUAUUGCAUCUUCUUUCAUCCCAUAUAAAGUUAUGAGCCAGACUUUGGAUCUUUUUUAUAAUUGUACAUGGUAGAGUUGUUCCAUUAGCCCAAUAUUGGAAUUUUCCAAGCAAUACCCAGUUGACUGAUUGAGUUCUACCCGCAUAGGAGAGGUAUCUCCCUUUCCACCUAGCUAAGGUUUUUUCGAUUAGGUCUAUUAACUUCCAACAUACAACAUGUGUUUUCUUUUUACCUGUUAUUAGAAGGCCUAGGUAGCUAAUAGGAAGUGGUUUGGUUGGGAAGUUAAGGAUAUUAUGCAACUCUUGAUCAUUAAUUAGCAUAUACUUUUGAAUAGGUUGCUCAACUUUUCUCUUGAUUAACCACAAGUCCGGAGAACUUGGAAAAGGUAUUAAAAAUCUUUUUGAUAGACCUAAGAGAUUUGGUGUUAGCGUUAGAGAAAAUCAAGACAUCAUCAACAUACAUGAGAUGGGAGAUGGAGACAACCCCAUUAACUAUGUAUGUGUCUAUCCUUUUGUCUUUGAUCUCAUUUUCUAUUAGUCUACCGAGAUUGUCCAUUACCAUAUCAAAGAGGAUGGGGGAAAAGGAUCUCCUUGUCUGAUGCCUCUAUGGUUAGUAAAGGGAGGGAUGGGGCAGCCCUCGCCUAGCACUAAGAAGGAUGCAGUGGAAAUGCAAUUGUGCACCAAUUUGCACAAAAAAGGGUCGAAACCCAUGGCCUCUAGGGUAGAGGUGAUAGCCUGGUAUUUGACUGUAUCAAAUGACUUUUUAAGAUCCAUACUGAGAUAAUAUCUUCUAGGUGUCCUUAUCCUUCCAAAUCCUUCUAAGCCCAUCACCACAAAUAAUUACAGCCAACUCACUGUGGUACCUUAAAUUCUAACGAUUCAUAUAUAAUAUUCCUCUAAGAAUCUACUUAGUACCAGAGGGAUUAAAACAUAAACCAGAUCUUUAUAUUUUCUCAAAAUAAUAAUAAAUAUAUGCCAUAUAGUCACAUAGAAAGAAUAAGAAAUAUCAUACCAAUGUGGGAAACUUCAAGUAUGUUUGGAUGCAAAAUAUUUCUAUAUAUUGACGAACAGAAGGCAUAUUGCCUCUCUGCAAAAAAAAACAAAAGUGCCAGGGCUUAGUUUUAGAUUUUUGGUAUAAAAAAGCCAAGGAUGAAAAGAAUUACUUCACACAAGCAAAAUCAGAAUAUAGUUUUUCUUACAUAUAAGCAUAUAUGUAACAUAGAUGUGACUUUUUCUAAUAUAUUAUCAUCUACAUAGUGAGAGAGUACGCAUAACAUCUGCCAAGCUCGAACCUUUCGUCUAUGAACCUAAACAAGUUGGCAAAUGUUAUUUUUCAAAGACAGCAUAAUUUAAUAAUCUUUUUUUUUUAAACAAUUAAAUUUAAUAAGGCUAAUGCCUAGUUUACAAAAAUAGAGUAUAGAAAUAGAAACAGAAGUGAAAAGAAAUGAGCAAGAAGCUCAUUGACUCUCUCUCCCAUUAGCUAUGUAGUCUAGUUAUACAGUAACUAGAUACGUUGCCUCAGAAGGUUGGUCUCUCAUACUUCCAUCAUAGAUGUCUUCAAAUGGUGACAACAGCUCUUCUUGUAAUACUCUGAAUCAAAGGAGAGACUGAUGUCUUUAAUGAUUUUUUUAAGGACUACCUCAGGAGGCCUACUAACGUACUGUCUAUAUUUUUUAUUUCUUUCCGUCCACAAUUUAAUAAUCUUCGUAUAAUUAAAAUAAAAUAAAUAUUUGUCUGUGGGAAUGUAAGCCUAAAUACGUACAGCACUGUAUUUCUUGUAUAGCUCCUUUGCAAGGUCUGUGUCAUUAACCUGAAGAGUAAAACAAAUAAAAUCCAGAUACCCAAGGAUUAAAUAAUUAUAAAUUACAAAUUACAAUAAAUUCUAGUUGAAAACACUUUGUGCUUUGGAGAUUUUUAAAUUAUAAUUCAGACAUUAACAUAGGAACGUAUUAUGCAGUUUGACGAAUUACAUUUGCAAAAAACCUAAAAUUAUAUGAAAACCCAUAAUUUUUUUUGAUGAAGUUAAAUAUUUCCUCAAACCAGAUUUCUUAGCACCAAUGUGCUAGGCCACUCACUGAGGAUGGGAUCGGGCUAAGAUAUAUUGAGGACUGUUGUGAAGCAUCCAAAGUUUGAAGAUUUUGGAGAAUAAUAACAAAAGAUGAAUCCAUUUGAUCAAAAUGGAUGAAGAAGAGAUAUUUGGCAAUUUCGAGUUGGGACAUGGUUCAAAGACACUCUGAGGAUUCACAUAUCUGGAAGGAACUUGUGGAUUGCAAAGUAUCUAUCUAUCAAUGCAGUAAGCUAGAUCAUAAUUCAGUUUGACAGUGAAGGGAUCUCAAACCAUCUUUUGCUUCAGCUUGGGAAAAAAUCAGAGACAGAAGUCUUUCUGAUAGAUAUGCAGAUGGUUUAUGGGCUCAUGGAAUGAAUAAAUUCUCUUUGUGUGGACGUAGAAUUAGGUGGAACAAGCUACCAACUAAAGUCCAUAUAAAUGAAAGAGACUCUAGUAUUGACAAAAUGUGCAUCCUUUGUAACAACACAGUGGAAAAUCAGGAGCACUUGUUUUUUGGGUGUUCGUAUUUGAAACACACAUGAAGCAAUUCUGUUGAGAGAAUGGGAAACAUGAUUGAUAAGGGUGGAUCCCGAUCAGUGCUCGGACGAUACUUCGAACAAGCGUUGGGCUAGGAACUUCGUCGGAAACAGCUCGAACACCUCAGUCGCUCAGGCUUACUCUGGAAGGGGUUCUCUCUCACUCGAAUCAAAACUAGCCGAAUGAAUGGGAGUGACCUCUAUUUAUAGGGUCCUUAUGAGGGUAAUCUGGUCAUUAGGGUCAUAACCGCCUAACUGCCCAGAUCUAGCCCAGGUCGACUUUAUGAGCUCGACUUCCCUGGGGUCGACUUUCGCCCAAGACGACCUGCAGGGGUCGACUUCCUCAUAAAGUCGACUAGGGUCUCCCAUUGCCUAUACAGGUAUUCACCAUCCAUUCUGAACUAUCUCUGGUGUCGUGAUCAAGUCUCGGAUACAGUAUCACCAAUGAUCUCAGGCUCCCAGCAAAUAUUCACAAUUUCCUAGGAAUAUUUUGACUUAAUGAAUAUGUGUUUACAACACAUAAUACAUGUUGGGCAAUCCACUAGCAUGGCGUAUUUGGAAACAAAGAUGUAACAAGAUACAUGUUGGGAAGAAUAAUCAUUGGCCCAUUAUCAGGGAAAAGAUUCAAAGUGAUGCCAGAGUGAUGUUCAACCCUGGUAAAUUUAAAACUAAGCUGAGUUAUAGGAAGGCUUUAUCACUUAUCCCUUGGCAUGACAACCUCAGUAUCACCUCGGAAAAUAGUAGUAAUAUGUAUGACAUGACAACAUGUAUAUUUUCUCAAAAAAAGUAUAACAUUAACUAUAAAGUGAUAAACUACUUGUAUCAAUUUCUCUAUUAUAUGAAAAAUGAAAAUUUUCCCGUUGGCAAAAAAAUAUAUUUCAUUAAAUAUGAAAGGGGGUCAUGGUCUAAGUUACACUGAUAAGGAAAAUAAGAUGAUUCAAUGUCCCUCUUUUAUACAAUUAGAUCCUAUACAUUAAGUAAUCAUGGACUAUUGCCUCAAGAUGUUAGACUCCUAGAAGUUUCAGUUUGUAGCAUAUUUUUCAAUCAUUAUUUGACUGAUUGAUUAUUUUGUAAGAUGAAGUAUUAUAGUAUAUGUUUGCAACCUUUAAAACUUCCCUGCUGACUGUUUCUAGAGGUCUAAAUACUUUUCUUUCAUUCCAGAUGCGGAAAGUAAGAAUUUGGAUUGAUGGACACCCCGACAUGCAGCCCUGUUUAUGAAUUUCUCUACCACUUUUACAAUAUCCUAAAGUCUGAUAUAUCCCAUAAAUAAUGCUGGAAUAGGAAGGUUCUGAAUUCUCCAGAUUGCAGGGUUAAGGGCAGUUAAACUUUUCCAGAUAAUGGGCAGUUGAAAACAUGAAAUAAAAGUGGACGAUUCAUGAUUGUUUCAUCUUCCUGCCCCAAUUCUGCAUUUUCUUGUAUAUGGUUAGAAACUUCUAUUUAGUCCCAUGAAGAAUUUCCUUUUCCUUCUUCUCAGCUCUCUCUCCUAUUUGUUUUUAGAUGCAGUAGGCAACUAAACAUCUUGUUUUUCAAUGACCAAACUUGGUAAAAAUUAUGCAAUUUGAGGACUUCAAGCUGUAUUUAACUGUAAGGAUGGAAAUGAUUAAAGUCACUUGAGGUCACCAAGAUGGAAAGUGGAAUUCAUCCCCUUGUGAAUAAAAAACAAAAGGAAAUUCCUUAGUGGUUUGAUUGGUUCUAAUGUAGAAUUUUCCUCUGUUGGUAUGUGUAGGGUGUUUAUGUCCAGUUUGCUAGUAUAAUACUAGGUCUUACCAUCUUGGACAUGUUCCACUUGCGUUCAUUGUUAGAGCAACCUGGAAGAAACAACAGAAGAGGCAUAGGAUUGAGAGGUUAGGGAAAUCAAGGCUCCCUUGCCCUCACUGUGAGACAGCACAUUAUUUCCUAAUUCCUACACAUCCACCAUGAACCAAGGGGAUAAGCUACUGAGCUCAGAAAUGUUCUAAGCACAAUCCUAGUAUUUCAGUGCCUUCCGAGAGAGUUUAGUUGUCUGCAAUUGGGUUGAGGGAGUGGUAGAAAACCUAUGUGAGAGUUCUUAUACUCUUCUUUUGGAGUCGUGAGAAUCCUUAUCCCUCGAAGAAAACAAUCCAUCACCCCAAAUGCUUGGAAGAACCUUCACCUCCCAAAGGUGCUAUCCAGUAGGUUGUUAUUUCCAUUCGAAAGCUCCAAUUGUCUCGCCCUCGGCCUAGAGGACCUCUUAGUCAUUACACUAUUAUCUUGGUAUAUUGGUGGUGGCUCUUGCCUCAUGGGUAGCGGGGUGCAAAUGUGAUAUCCCAAGAGAAGAAGAGGGAGAUGGGUGAUCCCACGACAAGUUUUUUGCCAGAGAGGAGGCAAGUUUUGAUUUUUGAAUUCCAAGGGAAUUCAGAGACCACCAACUUUAAUCAUAUAGUGCAUAACUCAAAAUGAUAGGAACUCUGAAUCCUGAAAACCCAUAAUUUUUACUUUGAUAUGAGAACCCCAUGUUUCAUUUCUAUUGACAAAUAAUAAUAAAAAAUUACCACAGAAUCAAGAAGCUCAAGUAGAAACAUCCUUCCGGAGUGACAGGCGGCAAUCAUAUCUGCAGUUAAUUCUCCUUCUUGUACUUCAUAAUUUAAUUUGGAAAGUUUAUGGAAUAAAAUAGCCACUGAUACACGAGCAUACAUCUCUGUGUUGAUAAAUGCCUAAAAGAUCCAGAGUUAGAGAAAAGAAUAUAUUUUACCUAAACUAAGAUCUAAAAUAGAAACAAUCAAACAGUAAAAAGCAAUUUUGAGUUGUGCACUCACCAUUUUGAAAAAAUAUUAGUAGUUGGAAUACCAAGAUGAGAAAACUGAAAAUCAAUUCAACAUCGAAGCCACUUAGAAAAGAAAGAAACAACAAGUGGUCUCUAGAUAAGAUAUAGUGCAUAAGUGGAUUACUGAAACAUGGUACAAACAGCUUCUGAGAUGGCAUAGAUCUUCACCUUAUUGAAGGAUUUUUUGCAUAGUACAAAUUUUCGCACGAUUGUGCAUUGUGACAAUCAUGUUUCUACUAUAUCUCCUGAACAAUCGAUGUUGAUUGUUACUUUGUGAGAGAAGCAGUAAUGAGCAAAAAGAUCACUACUCCUUUUGUUCACUCAGUUGAUCAAACAACAGAAAUUCUCACCAAACCACUCUGCACUUCGAAAAUCUAUAUCAAGCUAAAAGCAUAAUUGACACAUAUUCUCCAGUUUGAAGGGGAUUUUUUUUUGACAAAUUAAAACUUUCAUUUCUAAAAAUGGAUUUGGGCAGUGCCCGAGAAUACAAAAUACAGGGAAAUGCAAAUACAGUGAAAUGUAAAAACAUUGUCGCUCUCUUAUACAGUUGUGACCAUGACCAACUAGCCAAAGACUGAUGCCUUAAGAGAUUAGACUCCCAUAAGCAUAUGGCUUGAAUUUCAAUUUGUGAUUGUGCUUCUUAAAAGUUGUGGCUUCACGUGCAAUGCUCACAUCCUUUUAAGAUAUAUCAGUAUCAGUUUAUAAAUCUAUAUCAGUUUUAUUUAUAUUAUAAUAUUAAUCGGAAACAAAAAAUCUCUUAAAAUUCUGUUUCCUGAUAUAAUUGUUUCCAUCCAUUAAGUUUACAUAAUUGUAAAGUAUAAACAGACUCUCUCUUGUCUCUACAUAAGGGAAUGUAAGUUCUCAUAUUAAAUCUAAUGAACACUAUUCUUUUUCGCAUAUCACGGCUUACUCGGUGGGAAAGAAACCAUUCUUCUCUUACUUUAGUAAGUAUGUUGAGAUGGAGAUCAUGGCUUUCAGUCUCUCACCAGUUGGGGGCAGUGCUCCUAAGGAACAAGGAACCGUGCCUUUAAGUACAAGUAACAUAAAAAAAUAGAGAUGUUGAGAUGAUUGAGUGCAUAUGAGUAUCAAAGAAGCAAAGACCUUUAGGUACAAGUAACAUGGAAUACAAACAUAUCUUUAUGUCAAAUGAUACUAUGAAAAAAUAAUGAAUUCAUUAAAUUAUUUAUCAGACACAAAAACGAAUUUCAAUACCUCUGCAAACUCUGAGUACGGAUUUUGAGCUAGCAUCAAGACCUCAGUUUUGGCCUCAAAAUUUUCUGAUAACUCAGCUUCAAAAUCCUCAUCAAAAGCAACUGCAUUACACAAAAAUAGAAGGAAUUCGGGAAAGUUGGGCAAAAAUGAAUAACUAAUGGAAUAAGAUGUUUUUUGAUAUAUUAAAACUUUCGUUUCUGAAAAUUAGAUUUGGGCAGUGUCCGAGGUUACAUAUGUAGGGAAAUGCAAAUACAAAAGUAUAAAGGCAUUGUCACUUUCUUACACAGCUGUGACCAUGACUAGCUAACCAAAAACUGAUGCCUCAAGAGAUUACAAUAAAAGAAAAUAAGUGAAAGAUGGACACGCCCAUCGACUCUUAUUUUCUGUAGCAUUAUUCCUAGUAAUUAACAUGUAAUUCUGCCUGAUUGCAUUUUUUUGUAGACCUGCUUGAAAGACAAGCUGGUGUCCCUGAUGACUUCCUUGACUACAGUUCCUGAAGGUCUCAAGAUGUUGUUCUUUAGCCUCUUCUUCUUUGCGCAGAUGUACCAAGAGAGGCUGCCCAAGACAUUCUAUUGCAGUCCCCAACAAACAGAAAAGUGGGCGAAUUUCCGAAAGGCCUCUGUGAUCUCUUAUCCUAAAUUCCUAAUGACUAUGUAUAGAGAAGGAUUCUAAGAUGGUUUUAAUUGAGUUAAGGGACUUGGGGUUGACUUUUGUGAACACAAAGACAUUAUCAACAUAUAUUAAGUGUGUGACAAAAACAGAUCCAUUCACUUGAUAGGUAUCAUCAUCUCCAUCAACCUAGGACAUCUAUUACCAUAUCAAAUAAGAUGGAAAAGAGAGGGUCUCCUUGUCUGAUUUCUAUGUGAUUUUUGAAGGGAGGGAUUAAGGUUCCUUCAGCUAGGACUGAGAAAGAGGCAGAAAAGAUACAAUUCCAGACUAUUUUGCAGAAAAGUGGAGAGAAGUCAUAUUCCUCCAGGAUGGAGAUGAUGACCUCCCAUCAAACUAAAGUAAAGGUCUUUCUGAGAUCAAUACUCAAGUGGCACCUUCUGGGUGUUCUUUUCCUACCAAACCCAUAGAGCAUCUCAUCUGCAAGAGUACUGUUAUCUGAGAUAAAUCUACCUUCUAUGGAGGCUCUUUGGUUGGGUGAGAUGAAUUGGCUGGAUACCUUACUAAUACUGUCAUCUAAGUUUUUUUCAAGCAAUUAAAUUUUUAGUUGAAAAUGAAGGGCAGUGCCAAGUUUACAUAGAGAAUUAAAAAUACAAAUAGAAGUAAAAAUAAAUGAAAAAAACUCAUUGACUCUCUCUCAUUAGCCAUGUAAUCUAGUUAUAUAAUAACUAGGAGGUUGGUAUCAUAGUUUUUCAUGCGACGCCUAGGCAUCGCCUAGGCGUCGCAUAGGCGACCAUGCGUUCCAGCGCAUGUAGGCGUUUGCCUUCAUGCGCUGGAACGGAUUAGACGGGUCCGGGUCAGACCUGACCCGGACCCGCCUAACCCAAUAGGUUUGUUUUAUUUUAAUUUUUUUUUAUUUUUUUUUUUAAAUUUAAAUAUAAGGCCCAAUCACCCAUUUAAAUGACUUAAGUCAUUUAAAUAAGAGGUUGAGGGUUUUAAAAAACCCUAACCUCUUUUCUUUCUUGUUUUUUGCACCUUUCUAACCAUAAAUUCAUAGAAGUCUUAUAAUCUAUGUAUUUAAAUUUUAAAUUUUAGAUUAAUAGGUCUAUCACUUUGUAUUAGUAAUUUCAGGUUUUAAAAUUUAUGCAUAUAUUUUUUUAAAUGUUUCUGAAUUUACCCAUAUUUUUUAGCAAAUAUAUAUAAGUUUAGGGUAAAUUUGCAAAAUUUACCCUAUUUUCAGGCGACCGCCUAGGCGGCCAUGCGGUCAUGGCCAUCGCAUGACCGCAUGGUCGCCUAAAAAACCUUGGUUGGUAUCCCAUACUUCCAUUGUUUUCACUAAGCGGACGCAUACCGCAUAGUACUAAUCGGUUGGCACUUGGCAAACUAUGCGGCCAUUUUUUGCCGCAUAAUGUAGCCGCAUAUUUCUGUCACAAAAAAAAAAUUCAGGCCCAAUGGCAUUCCAAAGUAGUCCCCAAGGGAGAGAAGCUUGUAAAACAAAUUGACACGAGAUAUGGGCCAGUCAAGAUGGCAUUCCUUUAAAGAAUUGUGAGACAUACUCCAUAAUGAUAUCUUUUAGUUCAAUUCAGAAUUUCCUAAAGAAGUCUUAAGUAAAUUGGGAUGGAGAGCAUUUAUAACCUCCUCAUGUAAGAUAAAUUAGGUCAGCCACGUAUUCAUGGGAGCUGAUUGGCUGAGAGCACCCCAGGGAAGGUGAUGGGUAUGGGUAUGGGAGGAGGACUAAUGCAGGGGUAACAAGGUACUAUAUAAGUUGCUGAAAUACACAAUACUGUUGGAGUUUGAACAAGUUUGAACAGCUCAUUAUCCUAGCUUGAGUUUCAAAUUCUAGAUCCUCUAGUCAUAAAUUGAAGAAUCUAAAAGGCUUGAGAGAGGAUGAUGGUCAAACCUUUGUGGUCACUGAUAGCACUAAAAACUCUAAUCUAGUCUCUGGCAACAUGUUAGCCCAUUUCUGAUUGGUAAAUACCUUGUCAAGCCUGGACUGUUUGAAGACUGUUCCUGUUAAAGUAAAUAUUAGAGUAAAUACAAUUAUUUGCUCUAAUUAGUUAAAGUAGAAUUACUUUACUGUUUCACUUUAUUUCUGUUAUAUAUUGUACUGAUCCACUACCUCAAGGUAGUUGAGAUCUACUUUUUUACUUUUCCCAGCCUAUAUAUUCAAUAGGCUGUGGCUAAUGCAAAUCACGGUUUACAUUGCCAAUCUUCUAGCAACAUUUAUUCAUUUCAUAUCUUUGAUAUGGUAUCAGAGGCCAGUCAAUCUUCAGCUUCCGCAACCACCGGCAAUCAACAAUCGCCAGCAACAAUGUUGCACAUGAAGGCUCCAAAAUGUAUCGUUCUCGACGAUACAAAUUACUUCAGCUGGUUCGCUCAGUUCGCCACCAUGCUGAAGGGAUUCAAUCUCACUCGCUAUGUUGAUGGGAAAGUCACUAUCGUGGCAGAUUCCCUGGAAGAUCAACAGGAUUCACUUAUCAGAAGCUGGAUCUACACCUCGCUAUCAUCAUCGAUUAUGCCGCAGGUAGCUGCUCUUCAAACUUCUGCAGAGGUCUGGACUACGCUCCAAUCUCUAUUUGCAUCAGGUUCAGAGACUCAUCUCCUACACCUGCGGCAAAAUCUUCAAACAAUCAAGAUGGGAAACCUAACAAUGAUUGAAUACUUGAAGAAAAUAACGUUGAUGAGAGAUCAACUGUCAUGUGCUGGAGAACUUCUCAAGGAUUCACAAGUGAUUCUCAUCACGUUGGGAGGUCUUGGAUCAGAAUUCCAGUCGUUCAAAACCUCUAUCACCACGAGGUUUGAUCACAACAUGAAGUUCCUGGAAUUUCAACAAUUAAUUCUGGAUCAUGACCUGGAACUAAAGAAGGAUGCUACUUCUCUUCAUCCCGAGGUCAAUGCGGCUGCAAAAUCUCCUGGUUUCUAUCGCCAAAAUGCUCCGGGAGGGCUGAACAAGGAUAUUUGGUGUCAAAUAUGUUCAAAGAAAGGUCAUAUCGGGAAGAAUUGUUACAACAGGAUUAAUCUCUCCCGUUUUCCUCCGGAUCAUCGCAGAACACUGUCUCCCAAUGGUCCUGGUCAGUACUCUGACAGCAAAACUCCUUCUGCCAACAUGAUCAGAUCUGGUUCAGGGGGAAAUGCUAGGUGGUAUCAGGAUUCGGCAGCAAACUCUAGUGUGACUCAAUCAGGUAUAAAUCUCCACUCUAUACGUCCAUAUACAGGGUCUGAAUGUAUUAGGACUACCAAUGGUGAAGGUAUGGAGAUUACUCACUUGGGAAGAGCAGAAUUCUCUUGUCAAGGAUCUGAUUUUAUUCUUAAUGAUGUUCUAGUAGUUCCAGAUGCUAACAGGAACCUCAUAUCUAUCAAAAAAAUUUGUAAAGAUAAUCAUGUGGCUAUUGAAUUUAAUGAACAGCAAUCCAAGGUCAUGGAUCGGGAAACUAAGAAGGUUCUCACUGUGGAUCAAGAGGAGGAUGGAUUUUAUCCAAUGUCACUCUCAAUAAAACACCCACCUGAAGUUUCUAUGGUGGAGAAAUCAAAAGUGUCAAGUGAGGUGUGCCACUGUCGUCUAGGACAUCUUAAUUUUAAAUCUGUAUUAUCUUUAAUUAAGAGAGGUCUGAUUAGUUCAAGUUGUAACAAAGUAGAAGAUUGCACAUGUCAUAUUGGGAAAGAUCAUGCUCUUCCUCAUAAAUCUUCUACCUCUGUGUACACAUAUCCGUUGGAACUGAUCUAUGCUGAUAUUUGGGGUCCCUCUCCCACUCUUUCAAUUGAUGGCUUUAAAUAUUUUAUUAAUUUCGUUGAUGCUUACACCAACCAUAAUUGGAUCUAUCUCUUGUCCAAUAAAUCACAAGUUUCUGAGGUGUUUGAUAACUUCAGAAAAAUGGUGGAAUUACAGUGUGGUCAUCCAAUUAAACAAUUAUAAACUGAUAAUGCUUUGGAAUUUAAGAAACUCUCAAGGCAUCUUGAAGGAUUGGGUAUUAUUCACAGAUUUUCUGUUCCUUAUAGCCAUCAACAGAUGGGGAGUGUGGAAAGACGUCAUAGACACAUAGUAGAUACAGCAAUCACCAAGCUGGAUUUUUGUUCUCUCCCUGAUCAAUUCUGGUCCUAUGCAGUAGUGGCAGCAACACAUAUAUAUAAUUUGAAUCCAACCACCACACUUGGAAAUAUAUCACCAUUAGAGGCUUUAUCUAACAAAAUUCCAGACUAUGACAAACUCAAGGUGUUUGGAUCAAGAUGCUUUCCUUGUCUCAGAAAUCAAAGAGAAAAUAAACUUUCACCAAAAUCUAAACCUUGUGUAUUCCUUGGAUAUCCAAGGAACCAAGAUGGUUAUCUCUGCUAUGACCCUGUGGAUCAUAAGUUAUAUGUCUCCCGUGAUGUCAAAUUUGUGGGGGGAGAAUGUUCUCUCAAUCAAAUGCUCAAAGGAAAAGAACCAGCUCCAAAAUCAGUCAGCUCAGGCUCAAUUAUAGCUGAAUCAGGUGGUCCAUCUAGUGCUGAUAUAAAAAUUAUAUCAGGCAGGAAUCCAAAUCUGGAAUCAGAUAAUGUGUCUCCCUUCACUCUCACUGACAACUCACCUCCGGUGAACGUCGAAGGGGAAUCUCAAGCCAGUGAUUUACAAAAUCAGACUUCAUCAGGUGAAACUUCUCAUGCAACAGAGCAAGUUCAGGACACCACACCUCCUCUCACACCACCCACAUCACCAGAGCAAGUUAGGAUACUCCAAUCUCUGGCUCCCUUUAUACACCGUCUCCCACUCCAACUGACAGUGGAAAUGAGGAUGGUGAGGAAAUUGAGGUGGUCCCAAGAAGAACCAGAGCAGCAAGUGGCAUUAUCAAACCUUUGAAAUAUAAUCCAAGUUUUGUUUUAUCUGUACAAGCAAGUAAAAUCCAAAUUCCCAAAUCACCUAAGCAUGCACUCCAAAUUACUGAAUGGCAGCAGGCCAUGAAGGAGGAAUAUGAAGCUUUGGUAAGGAAUGAAACAUGGCAGUUAAUUCCCAGAUCUAUGGAAGAUAACAUCAUCAACACAAAAUGGAUUUUCAAGGUCAAAUCCAAAGAUGAUGGGACUGUUGAAAGGUAUAAAGCCCGUCUAGUGGCUAAUGGAAUGAGACAGAUAGAAGGAUCUGAUUAUACCCAUACAUUCAGUCCAGUUAUAAAAGCCAAUUCAGUCAGAAUCGUUUUAACAAUGGCUAUAUCUAAUGGAUGGUCAUUAAAACAAAUUGACAUCUCUAAUGCAUUUUUGCAUGGUAAGCUGAAUGAAAGAAUAGUAGUAUCACAACCACCUGGAUAUAUUGAUAAUAAAUUUCCAGAUCAUGUGUGCCUGUUGCAAAAAGCCCUAUAUGGGCUCAAGCAGUCUCCAAGGAUGUGGUACACCAGAUUGAAGGAUUUUCUUGUUUCUGUCUCCUUCAAAGAAUGCUCCUCUGAUCCAUCACUGUUCAUCCUUCUUCAACAAAACAUUAAGAUUUUUCUAUUUGUUUAUGUUGAUGACAUUGUCAUCACAGGAUCAGAUAACAUCAGAGUACAAGAAAUCAUUCAGAAAAUGAGUAAAGAAUUCACACUCAGAGAACUAGGUGAUCUCAAAUAUUUUCUUGGAAUUCAAGUCAAUCCUAUAAAAGAAGGAUUACAUCUGUGCCAGCAACAGUACUUGUGCAAUUUACUGAGAAGCUGCAAUUUUGAUCAUCUAAAACCCUCAAUUACACCCAUGGGUGAUCUCAAACAGUUAUUUAUUGACAGUCCACCAAUUGCUGAUCAUGGUGAGUAUAGGAGAAUCAUUGGAUCUCUCCAAUAUCUCACACUCACAAGACCAGACAUACAAUUUGCUGUCAAUAAACUCUCCCAAUUUCUUGCUGUUCCUACAGAAGUUCACUGGACUGCAGUCAAGAAAUUAAUGAGAUACCUCUCAGGUACUCAAACAACUGGUAUUAUUCUUGGAAGGACAACAGACUUCUCCAUCACUGCUUAUGCUGAUUCUGACUGGGCAGGGGAUAUAAGUGAUAGGAAAAGUCAAACUGGAUUGUUAAUAUUUAUUGGAAGUACCCUGGUGGCUUGGGCAUCCAAUAAACAGACCACUGUCUCCAGAUCUACCACUGAGGCAGAAUACAGGGCAGUGGGUACAGCAGUUGAACACAUGGAAUCCGUAAGAUCAUUACUACAAGAACUUGGGGUGGAAGUUCCUCUUCCAAUGAAAAUUUUUGUGACAACUUGAGCACCACGUUUAUUGCUCAAAAUCCAAUAUGUCACACAAAAAUGAAGCACACUGCUCUUGAUUUCAGUUUUAUAAAAGAAAGAACAGAGAACAAGUCAUUACAAGUUCUGCAUAUCAGUGGUGACAAGCAGUUGGCGGAUAUUCUGACAAAGCCAUUGAGACUUGCCCUAUUCUUAAAUCUAAAGCCCAAACUUGUGUAUCAGGCUCCACAAGUUUGAGGGGGGAUGUUAAAGUAAAUAUUAGAGUAAAUACAAUUAUUUGCUCUAAUUAGUUAAAGUAGAAUUACUUUACUGUUUCACUUUAUUUUUGUUAUAUAUUGUACUGAUCCACUACCUCAAGGUAGUUGAGAUCUACUUUUUUACUUUUCCCAGCCUAUAUAUUCAAUAGGCUGUGGCUAAUGCAAAUCACGGUUUACAUUGCCAAUCUUCUAGCAACAUUUAUUCAUUUCAUAUCUUUGAUAGUUCCUAUACCUUUAUUUGUCCAACUAAAUUCUUCUCCUAUAUAAUUAUAGAAGGGAGCUCAAGGAGGCGUGAAAGGUUGAUAACAUGACUAAAUUCAAUUGGCCCUACAUGCUGGUAUGUGCCACAUCUCAUCCUUUCUUCGGAGGAUAGAACCCAAAGGAGUGAGUUGGAGGUUUGGCUGAUUUGUGAGAGUAGGACCCAAGAAUAAAGAUUUGUGGAAAUGGCAAUAUUUUGAUUAAAAAAAACAAUGAAAGGCUUACCAGAACCAUGCAGAGAUAACAGUUUCAAUUCUUUUAUGUAAUACUUAAUUGUUCCUGGAUAUAAAGACCACAAUCCUGUUAAAUGACAAGCUGCAAGUCGAAUGGUGCGUGGACUUUUUGUUCCCUCAUUAAUAAGUUGUUCGAUGAACUAUAAAAAAGAGAAACAUAAUCAUCUACUUACAAAAUAGAGUUUGGUCAUAGUUCAACCUCCAAGAACACAAAAAUCAUCAAUUAUUUACCAUUUCUCCAAAAAAAAUCACCAAUAAUAUUUUCAACACACUGAUGAUAAAAUUUAUUAAUUGUUACUGACCCAUUUUAGCGGGCCUUUCAUACCACUAUCUAUUUGAUGCAUACUUGGAUCGCAAAAAAGUGAGGGAUGCAAGAUAGAAGAUAAAAGAGCCGCAAUAGGUGCAACUCGACGUUUAUUGCAGCUGACAUGUAAAAUCCAAGAAGAGUGGACUAACUGAUAUACAGUCUGGAAAGAAAAAAGAACACAAACUAAGAGUUAUAUAUCCAUUUUUUUAUAAAGUUAAAAUGCAAGUGAUAUUUAGAUAGGCUCAAACUCAGAAUACAAGAAAAUGUGAGAUGAACAAAGAUUUAUCACCUCUGUCCUUUUAUAGCUCUGUUUAAAGCUUUUUUUUUAUGAAUUAAAGUUUUCAUUGCUGAAAGUAGGGUAGGACAGAGCCCAAGAUUACAUAUGUAGGGAAAUACAAAUACAUAGGAUAUAAAUAUAUAAGUAAAAAAGCAUGUAAAAGCAUUGUCGCUCUCUUAUAUAGUUGUGACAAUGACUAACUAACCAGGGAUUGGUGCAUCAAGAGGUUGGACUCACAUAGACUUAUGGCUUGAAUUUCAAUCUGAGUAGAUUGAGCUUCUUAUAGGUAGUGGUAAACGAUGCUCACAUCCCUAAUGAUUUCUCUGCUUACAACUUAUGGAGACCUCAGCUGAGUGCCUAUAUAGCAUUGUUGAGACAACUAGUGGAAUCUAGUAGGAGGUGUCUGGAGUAUUGCUAGUUAAAGUACAGAUGUUGCAUUGACUCCUCCAACCCGCAUAGGGGACAGGUAGUUUGUAGUUAGAUUCCCUAACUUUGGAGCCUGGUGAGGGUGUUAAGGAUUUUAACUUUGAUUCUCUAUAAAAACAUGGAGAAUUUAGGAGGCAUUUUGGACCAUAUGCCAGAGUUCAAAUCUUAUAUGAUACAUUGAUAACCUUGGGCCUUAGUGUUUCAGAGUGCUUGGAGGAAGCUAUUUGAAGUAUCAUGUAGUUGCUCAGGCAGUUGAUACACAUAUCUAUUAGAUCUUUGUUGGCUAUGAUAGUUUUCCACAUAUGGGUUAUACAAUGCUUUAGUCAGGCUAUAGAGACUAGAGUAGUACAUUUUGUUGGAAUUCUAGUUGAGUAUAUCUAUAGCUACACAAUGCUUUAGUCAAAUGCCUUUUCAAGAUCUAUGUUGAGGCAACAUCUUUUUGGGGUCAUUAUCCUUCCAAAUCCAUGCACCAUCUAGUCUGCUAGUAGGGUGUUAUCUGAGAUGUUCCUAUCAGCUAUGAAAGUUGUUUGGUGAGGGGAUAUCUAUUCAGCAGAGACCUUAGAGAUCCUAUCUGCCAUAAUCUUAGUUAUUAGCUUGUAUAUCAAGUUAACGCAAGCUAUCGGUCUAAAGUCAGAUAGGUCAGUUGUUGUGGGUUUCUUAGGGAUUAAAGUAAUAAAGGUGUGAUUGGUAGAUUUCAAUAGAGGGUGAAGCCUUGUAGAUCUCCUAAAAGUAGGCAUUACUCCUAUCCUUGUAGAUCACCUUAAAGGAGAGUUAGGUUUUAUUUUAAUAUUCUAAGGUACUUUUUUUUGAAGCAGAUAUUCUAAGGUACUUUCUCUCUCUCUUCGUGACAUUUCUUGCAUUUCUCUCUCUCUUUGUGUUGUUCGCUUUUCUCUCUUCCCUUGUAUUUCGUUGGUGGAAUCCAACACUAGAAGUGUUCUUUGCUGGACAGCAUUGCACUUCUUCCCUUGUAGAGCUUCUCUACAUUAAUAUCCUAUUAUAUAAAUGGUUAUAUAAGCAAUACGAAUGAGAAAAGGAAAAAGGAUCCUUUCCACCAAAAUACACCGUCUCGUAUAGGUAGUUUCCUCAAAUGGUAAUUAACCCAUCUAGAAGCUUCUACACCAAUUAGACUUGAAUUUGGGCCAAGUCAAUGACUUGGUACACAUGUUGGACAAGUCGACGACUUGGUGUCACGGUUAGAAAACUCGAUAACUCGGUGUCACAGCUGGCCAAGACAAUACAGUGGUACCCAAGUUGGCCAUGUUUGUGAGACUGUGACAAGAAUGGUGUGGGUUUCCAAGUUAAUGACUUACGUUGUUUCUAAAGUUUUACCUAUGAUUCCGUCUUGUCAUCGUCUGAGGUCAAGAACUUUAAUAAGCAUCCAGGAUUAGGUUGCCGAACUGCCAAUCACUUGUGCCCAGAUACUGAUUUAUAUGUAGAUUAUGACGAUUAGGUUCUUUGUAAAAGGGAAUACUACAUCCAAUCAUUUUUUAAAUGCUGCAUCUAGCUUUGUUAAAUAAAAUUAUAAAGGAAAACUAUAAAAGAUUCGUCAUGUAGUAAACUAAUUAACAACGAUUGUUAUAUUUUAAGCAUUACAAAUCGAAAGGAUACCUGUGAAUUCAAUUGAGAGUCAAAAAGUCCUAAGAUUAACCUCACUGAUCUUAGCAUGGGCAAAACAGAAGACUCACUUGCAUUUUCAAGACUGCAGAAGCAUGAAUGUAAUAAUAUAAAGGAAACAAUAUCCAUAAAAAAUAAACAUAACUGACUGUAAAGUGUGAACAAUAAUUACAAUAACAAAAUUUCAAUGAAGUUAAGAAAAAUUGGUUUACCUCUCAACAAUGUCAAAAAAAGUGGUUUUUAAACACGAAUCCGAAAAUAAAGCCAAUGAUUUGAGAUCAUGCCCUCCAUGAGCAGUCAUAUUAUAUGGUAUAGAAACGAGAGAGUCUAUGCAAAGCCACUGUAUAAAACAAAAUAUUGGAAAGAUAUUUUACAUUUUUACUAAAAGGAAAAAACAAGAAUCAAUUCAAUACCUUCCAAUUCAUCAAUAUAGCACGUCGACUGCGUGUAAGUAUUCCAUUUAUCAAAAGUCCAUUGAUACUUCUAAGAAAAUUAAAAAGUAAAGGGUCCAGUAAUGAUCCAUCCUCCAUAUUUGGAUAUAACAAUUUAUUGUGAGUUCUUAUGAAAUCAAAAACCAAAGAAAAAUCAAAUGAAAAUGCUCUAAAUACUGGCACCAAAGCUUCAAAAGCAGCUAGGCAAAUUUCAGAUCCUGUCUACAAAGUUAAAUAGCAGAUUAAACAAUUGAAUGAUAAAACUAUAGGAAUAAUAAAUGUCAUUUUUUAGAAUUUAGAAGGGAAAAACGACGAUGUACCUCUGUGUCAUAACUUGGAGAACAUAUCACCUUCGAAGAAAAAUUCCACAAAAAGGUAAAGAUUGAGCUGUGCAUUGACUUUUCCUCUAUCAGUGUAAACCAACAAAAGAUACUGACAAUGCUCUUCAAGGAAAUUAUCUGUUCAGCAAAGAGUAAAAUUUCUAUAUUAAUAAUAAAAAACAAAUAAUAUAUACAAUAUCCACUCCCUCAAUAGUAAAGAGUGGUAUACGCCUGUACGGUAUACCCCACUCUUAAUUUGCACCUACACCAUUUGCAACCCAAAUUAGUGGGAAAGAUACAACUACCAUCAGUGACCAUCAGCCAACUAAAUGUCUAAAUCAACAGUGGAUUAAUGAUUUUUCAUUAAUAUUAAAAGCAAGCAUUUAUAUCUACUAUCUAGUAAUCACUGACUUAUUUUUAAGCCUGUCCAAAUUCCAUAUCUACUACCUAGUGUAACCUCAUCUUUUUUGUAAAUCUGUUUACCUUUUUAUUUUUUUGAUAAAAUUAAAGAUUUUCAUUAGAAAUGAAGGGCAGUGCCCGGAAUUACAAAAGAUAUAAGAAAAAUAAAAUACAUGGAGAUGGAGAUGGAUAAACUCAUCGACACUAUUCUAUAUGGCAAUGUUAUCUAGAAAAUAAUAACUAGACACGCUACCUCAGAAGACUGGCUUCCCAACAUUACAGAGUAGCAAUCUCCAGUGGAUGACAACGGCUUUUUUUGUAACACUACGGUCUGAAGGAGAGGUUGAUAUUCCUAAUGACUUCUUUCAGUACUUCUGGUGUAGAUUGUGUUUACAAAUGAAGUAAUUAUCCAAUUGUGAAUUGUUGGAUGUGGAUAGGUGGGUGAUCAAGGAUCUAAGAUCUGAUGGUGUCAAUGACUGAAUGAAUCUAGUGUUAGUAUUAGAAGUGUGGAAACUCUUAGGAAGGCAUCCGGUUUUCUCCACUAGAGUUGCUGGUUUAAUUGUAAUUAGAAUUAUAAUUGUAGGCCUUUAUAAGCCAUUAGAAUUAAAUAGAUUUAAUUCUAUGUUAAAUGGGUCUUGGGCCUUGUAAUGAUGAUUAGGAGUUGCAAACAGAAAUCGGAAACCCUAAUCACCAUUAUAAAUAUCCUGUAAUGCUUGUAUUCUGCUGUGACAAAAAGAAGAGAAGAAUAGCGGAGACAUCCCAUGGACGUAGGCACAUUGCUGAACCACGUAAAUCUGUGUGUUUUUGUUUCUUUUCUCAGUUCGAUUUUAGGGUUCUUCCUAUCAUCUAGGGCCCGGGGAUUUAUUUGACCAUGUAAAAUCCCCCCCAAUGGAGGGUAUCUCAAAGAGUUAUGCAAAAUUUGUGGCUUGAAUAAACUUAGCUAGCGCCCCGUGGUUGCAAACCCCACUAUUGAUCCUCUCUCAAAAACCUGAUUUCGUUAAAAUAACCCUCAAUUAUCCAUGGGGUGGAGAAAAUGAGUCAUAUUUGUUGUAUGAUGUCCCCAUAGUGAUGUAGCCCACUGUAGUGCAUUAUCAAGCCUUUGGCUCUAGAUGAUUCAAGCCAUAGCUUGGGUCCUCUAAAUGGGUUGACCUGACUCUCAUUGUGAAUUUUCCACUCUCACACAAUGAGAGUAUAAAUAUGAGUCGACGGUCGGACGAAAGAUUAUGUUAUUUUGCUAAUCAAGGUACCCUAAGUUUCUCUACCCUCGUUUCUCUCUUAUUCCCUUUUUCUCGGUUCUUAUUUCCUGAUUGAUGGAUUCCAAUCGUAGAAAGGUAAAUAAGUGGAGUCCGUCUACGGUUUUCCAGCCCUUGCUUCAUCGGAACUUAGAUCCUUUCAGCCACAUCCAACGUUGGAUACACAAAAAAUAUACAUCAUGUAGAGUUUUUCUAUAUUCCCUUGGUCCUUUUCCCAUAAUAUACAAAACUGUAAAAAAUCUCCCUGAGUUCCUUAUCUUAAGAUGUAUCAAAUGGGGGUGGAUAAUUAAUACAUCGGCAUUCCAAACAUCCCUCCUCCAAAAUACCCAAAUGGAAGUGAAAGACUGAAGAGAUGCUGAGAUGAAGUUAUUUUGUGAAUCCCAAUCAUCCUCGAACAUUUGUUGGGUAUCUUGGAUUCUUUAUGGUCUAAUCCUAGUUUCCAAGACUGAAAAUACCUCCUUUGAGUUUUUCCUCACCAAUUAUUUAAUUUUUGAAUGAGACUCGUCGAAGUUGAAGGCUUGAAUCUCAUGAUAUUCCAUAUUAGGAAAGCCAUUAAGAGGUGGCUUCCCUCAGAGGAGGGGGACGGUUCACUUUUGGCCCAAUGCGGAUAGGUCUGUACAUGUUUCAAAGAUAUUCUCCAUUUCUCCUAACCUCGAUAGAAUCUUCUCCUCUAUUUUCUUUGAUCUCUCAUCUCUGCAAACUCCCAGAGUUUUUGUUUCCAUGCUCCAUCCAGGAGGGUGUUUGAGCAUGGCCAAAACCUUUGGGGGGACUUGUCUAUGCUUUUGUUCUUUUUCUUUCUCUUGUAGGUUUUCACAAAAGGAUCCUUUUUUUUUUGAGAAAUUAAAACUUUCAUUGCUGAAAAAGAGGUUGGGCACAGCCCAAGAUUACAGAAUAAUAUAGGGAAAUGCAAGUACAGUAAAUGUAAAAAUAUUGUCUAUCUCUUAUGCAGCUAUGACCCUGACUAACUGGCCAAGGAUUGAAGCCUCAAGAGAUUUGACUCCCAUGAGCGUAUAGCUUGUAUUUCAAUCUGUGAAAGAUUGUGCUUCUUAUAGGAUGUAGGAUCAUAUGUAAUACCCACAUCCUUUAUAAUUUCUCUGCUGACAAUUUCUAGGGGCCUUAGGGUGUGUUGUUUUAAUCUUCUAUUCCUUUCACACCAUAUGUGCCAGGAAAGAGAUGCUAGCAUAGUCCAGUGUACCCCCCAACAACUGGACUUGUGGGUGAAUUUUUGUAUUGUUUCCAUAAUAUCCCCUAUCCUAAUAUCUAUUGCGGGAGGUGGGGGAUUUUGCCCACUAAGUGUCCAAACAGCAUUGUUAAGACAGCUAGUGGUCUCUAGCAAUAGGGAUCUAGUGUAAUGGCAGUUAAAGUAUAAGUGUUGUAAUGUUUCUUCCUCAUUUCCACAGUGGGCAGGACGUAUUUAUAUUGAGUCCCCAGCUUUUUAGUCUAGUUAAAGUGUUCAGACUCUUGACCUUAUGUUUAUCAUAAUAUAUAGCAGGACUAAGCUUUGGUGGGAUAUAGGUCGAAGUUUCCCUACAUUCCUUCCUAGGGGCCUGAUGGUGGAUGAAUAAUGGAAUUUUGAUGCAUUUGGUCCGUUUAUGUGGCCAAGUAAUGAGUAAUCUUAAAAAUGGCCCUGGUUGGGGCCAUCCAUUUGAUUUCAAAAUUAAUGGAGUUUGACUCACAUCAUUGGAUGACUCACAUCAUUGGAUUGCUCAUUUACCAAUGAUGUGAGUAUAAAUAUAAUGGGCCCAAGAAGAGGAUCCCCAUCGAUUAUUGCAUACAGGUAUUACCUUCCUCUUUGGCUCUAUUCUCUUUUUCUCACUCUGCUUUCACUAUUGCUUUCUACUGUUCUUCUCUUUUUCUUGCUAUUCUCUUGGUGGAUUACAAGAUCUUCUUCACAUCCGAUCUGAGAAGGAGCAUUUAUCUUCUUCUCCCCCCCCCCAAUGACCCGAUCUUGGAUAUAGGUUGCAUCAAAAAUGCUCAUAGUCCUCUACAUUUAUAUUUCUUUCCUUUAUAAUUUUAAUGGUAUAAAAAUGAUUAGUCCAUCACGAAAAAUGAAAUCUUAUUUUAAGAUUAAAAGCAAAAGAAACUUACAGCCUGAAGCACGGAAGUAGUAGUAAAAGAAGGCAACCUCCGCUGACAUGGCCCCCCAAGUCUUCCAAUGGAACUAGGAAGAGUUGUGUCCUUAACAAUGGGAAAAUACCAAAAUGUGGCAGAAGCUGAUUUAACGAACUUCAAAAGUUCAUCCUAUAAAGAAUAAGUCAUUAAGAUAAUAUUACAACAUUAAUCUUAGUUGUAUGUGAAUAUCAAAAGAAAAGGCAAUGACUUGCUCAUUUCCAUACCACAAAAGAUAAGAAAAUGCUUUGGAAUUUUUCAUAAACAGAUGAAACUUCUUCUUGAGAUAACUGACCCAGCAUACCAUUUGAUUCUACUUCAUUUUGAUCAAUGGAUUUUACACGAUAAAAAUAUGAUGAAUUUUUACCAAUGUAUUGCAGUUCUUCAAUUAAACCAGUGAUAAUGAUGAGAAACUUAACAGGGAGCCAAUCCAAAUCAGUGCUACUUUUGCAGAUAUCAGUGCCACAGUCUUUCAGAAACUGAAAUAUCAAAAAAUAAAGAAAUGAUAGUAGAUAUAGGAGUCGAAGCCUUUAACUUAAUUGUAUUGUUAUAUUAAACUGAAGCAGAAAGAAGAACUGCCUCCUUGAUAAACAAAAGAACAAUAUCACAAUUUAGCCUAAAAUCAAAAUGUAAGCUGCAAUUUUUCUGGUACAAGGAGGAUAGGACCAUCUUAUUCUCCGUCAACUUCAGGGAAAUCUCCGAAACCAGAUGGGUUAACCUCAAAUCAGAAUUCUUUAAAAAAUCUGGCCAAAGGUGAAGGAAACUGCCAUGCAAUGUAUCCAAUUGUUAUGCAAUUCUUUAAAAAAUCUUCUAACCACCCUUUUCUCACAUUGGUUCCUAAGACAAAUACAACAUCAGAUAUGUCAUAUGUCUGAUUUCAGACCUAUUUUUUGUGUCAACUUGAUUUGUAAGCUAAUGACAAAAAUCUUAGCAGAUAGAAAUAAUCGAAUUAGUAAAGUCUCUAGUGAGCUCAUCUCCCCAAACCAAACAGCAUUCAUUCAGGGUAAAAACCAUCCUAGCUAAUGAAAUGGUACAUGGCUUUGGGAAAAAAAGGACUCCCAAUUCGAUUAUAUAGAUCUUAAAGAUGUUUGAUUAUAGAUCUUAAAAAAUAUUUGACACAAUCAUAAUUGCCACCUUUGAGGUGUAUGGCUUCUCCCCUUUCAAAAGCCAGAGGGGAAUCAAACAAGGUGAUCACAUUUCCCAAAUUUUAUUUGAUAUGGUGAUAGAUGUCCUGAGUAGGUUAAUACAGAAUGAUGUGAGGAAAAAAAAUAGACACCUACCAAGUUAAUGGGGCUCCAUCUAUAUCCUACCAAAUUAAUGGGCUACUUUCAAAAAGGCUAAUCCGAAAUCUCUAAAGGAAAUUAAGGCCUUGCUUGGGAAAUUCUCAUUUUUCUCGAGUUUGAAAGUAAAUAUGAGUAAGAGUUCCUCCACCUUUCCGUAAAUAUGUGGAAGGCCAAUCCCUCCAUAGCAUUUUAGGAUACUCUGUUAAAAACUUACCCAUAUCAUACAUUGGACUCCCAAUCACGGGAAAGAAGUCAUUCGGGCAGUAAUGGAAACUCAUCCACCAAUAAAGACACUCCUAGCAAGAUGAAGUGGGAAGUGCCUCUCCUAUGGGAUUAGAAUUCAGCUAGUAAAUUGGAUAAUAGCUGGUAAAUAUACCUAUUGGGCACAAGGCAUGGCUAUGAGAGGCUAUCAUAGAUUCAGUUGCUAAGAAAGUAAGAAAGUUAGCCUAUAAAUUCAUCUGAAUUGGAAGAAAAAAGAUCCCAUGGUCUCAAAUGAUCCUCCCUAGGCUGAAAGAAGUCUAAAGAUCUCUCAAUUAAUACUACCGCGUCAAGUAUUAAAAGGGCAUCAAAGUAUAGGGACAAGAGCAACUCUAUCCUAGUGCAAUGGAUCUAAGAUAGGUAUAUUAAGGAGAAAAGUAGAAAACCUUAGGGAAAUUCAAAUCAGGCCCUCUAUUAACUCCCAUUUCUGGAAAAGCCUUCGUUUCAGACAAGUCUCUAGUAGAUAAAUGCUUGGAUUGUAGACCUGAUAACAUUGCAAUUUGGAGGUUAGACACUCUUAUAAGAAAGUUAGGGGGAAUUGUAGAGAGUAUUAGAAAUAGAAGUCAUAAAGACCAACUUUUUGAUAAAAUUAAAAUUUCAUUAGAAAUUAAGUGGGUCUUGCCCAGUUUUACAAAUAUAAACUAUAAAAAUCAAUUAGCUAAGGGAAUUUGAUCUAAAGUACCAACAAAGUUCCUCAUUCUCCUAUGAAGAGUUAAAUGAAAUCACUUAAACACUUUUAGGAAGUUGAGGAAUUGGGGAGCGCAAGUCUCUCUUUUUUCUUUCUCUCUUUUUGAUGAAUUAAAGCUUUCAUUGCUGAAAGUAGGGUAGGGCAGAGCCCAAGAUUACAUAUGUAGAGAAAUGCAGAUACAUAGGAUAUAAAUAUAUAAGUAAAAAGCAUUGUCACUCUCAUAGUUUUAAAAAGCGGAAAGCGCUCCCAAUUUCCAGGGAGCGCUUUUUUAGCUUUAACCGCUUUAGCGUCGCUUAAAGCGGUUAAAGCGGUUUAGCUAUAUAUAACCCUAAAUAGCUAAAGCGGUUAUCUUAGCUAAAUAUAAAUAGAUAUAUCUUUAGCUAUUUAGCUAAAGCGGUUAAAGCUUUAACUUCCCAUUAAUAGACACGUAUUAUUUAGCUAAAGCGGUUAUAUCUUUAGCUAUCUUUAACUUCCCAUUAAUAGACACGUAUUAUUUUUAUCUCAUAGAUCUGUCAAAUGAGAUAAAUAAUACAUGUAUGAGGUAAAUAAAUACCCCAUUAAUAGACACGUAUUAUUUUUAUCUCAUAGAUCUGUCAAAUGAGAUAAAUAACACGUGUAUGAGAUAAAUAAAUACCUCAUUAAUGGUCCAAAAAACACAUUAUAACAUUUGAAAAAAGCGUUUGGCAAAGCGGUCCAAAAAAACCGCUUUGCCGCUUUAAACGCUUAAAGCGACGCUUAAGCGUCGCUUUUUGAACUAUGGUCACUCUCUUAUAUAAUUGUGAGCAUGACUAACUAGCCAGGGAUUGGUGCCUCAAGAGGUUGGGCUCCCAUAAACAUAUGGCUUGAAUUUCAAUCUGAGUAAGAUUGAGCUUCUUAUAGGUUGUGGCAUCAUAAACGAUGCUCACAUCCCUACUUGUUUAUUAUGUCUCUCCUGCUUGUUUAUUAUAUAACUUGCAGAAAGAAUCUAGAAGUCACAUCUUCUUUAACUGCUCAUAUUUCAGAUCCCUCGUAAUCCCAUUGGCAGAGCACCUAAACUUCUCUUUCUAGAAGUAAAUGAAUAUCCCAAUUACCAUCAAACAAGUUCGAAUAUAAGAUUGGAGGAUUUGACUGAGACUGCACAGAAAUUCACACCACACUCACCCCUUGGGGACUACUCUGGAAUGUCAUAUAGACUGAGAGGAAUAGAAGGUUUAGACAACACACCAUUAGGCCUACUGGAGUAGUUUUUAAGGAAAUAAUUAAGGACAUCAUUCUCUCUUUUGGACCGGAGUAUCACAAGAAGAGUCGUUGCCACCAUUUGAAGACAUCUACUAUGAAAGUAUGAGAAAUCAACUUCCUGAGGCAACGUACUUAGUUAUUAUAUAACUAGAUUGCAUAGCUAAUUGAAAAGAGUCAAUGGCUUUUGGCUCAUUUCCCUUUUACUUCUCUUUUUUUUGUAAUUCAUUCUCCAUAUAAUCAGGGCAUUGCCCUUCAUUGAUAUUAAUGGAAAACUUUAAUUGCUUCAAUAUAUAUAUAUAUGAAAGAGUCAAUGAACCUUAGCUCAUCUCCCUAAUAGGCUAAUAUAUAUUAUUUUAUCGCCAUUUGUAAUCAAUAUUUUAUAAUGAAAAAGUUUAAUUUACCGAAAGAAACUUUGAACUUUGAAAUAUAGGUAUUCUGAUGACCAUAAUGCGAUCAGAAACGUACGUUACGUACCAUCAAUAAAUGUUCCAACUGAUCAGUAUCAGUUAGCGUAAGAAAAAAUAUUCGCACCCAUCGUUGUGUUUCAAAUACCCAUGCAUUUAAAUCUUCAUCGUCAAAAGAAACAGGAUUGUGAAGUACAUGCUGAUGCUUCACAAAUUUUAUUGGAAAAUUAUAAAUAUUUCUCAUUACUUCAGAAUCAUUGCCAUCAUUGGUUUUUAUUCGAGAAAACCAUCCUUGAAUUUUUCUUCUCAAAGGACCUUAAUGAUACAAUAUUAAUUAUACAUCAGAUCGUCAACAAAUAAUAUGAGUAUAUGAUCAACAAUUAAACAUCAUGAAAGAGUAAAUUAAAAUAUAUUUUUUUUGAUAAUGGAAAAAAUCAUUAAUAAUGAAUAAAUAGACAUAGCCCAAGUCAAAGAGUAUUAGAGAAUGAGAAAAAAUCUCAGUCACUAAGGAAAAGUAAGAUUUUUCUAAUAAUCCUCAAAAGAAAAGAUUAAGAUUAUUUUUGUAUUACAGACCAAAAAUUUAAUUAGUUAAAAAAAAUACUUACUGCUAAAGUUGAUAAACUCCCAUGGAAUAGUUGAAAGAAAAUGCAAAAGCACAUUAAGCGGUACGUCACAUGGAUCCAAUGCAAAAUAUGCAGUAAACAUGAUCUGCUCACAAACUAGAUACAUGAUCAUAAAGACAGAAGAUCAUAAAAAAAUUGCACGAGAACUUCCACUUACUGUUAGAACUACCGAAAUUAAAACUGAAGUAUUGAACUGACCUUGAAGACGGUAUUUUGGAUUGAAAUGUUGUUUACAUCUCUCAAUGAUUAUUCCCAGGGCAUCCAAUAAUUCUGAAGCAUCGUGGUUCAAGCAAUAUACUUUGUCAAUAAUGUUGAUAUUUCUUUCAUAACAUGAAGUGUUAUUUGACUUAUUUCCCUCAGAUACAGUAGCCCCCCUAGCUGCUGAAGAAAGACAGAAGGCAAGAGCCAUCAACCCAGCGCGUAUAAAAGGCUCUUGGCGUGCAACGGAUGCUAAGCCAUACAAGAAUCGAAUGCGAGUCCUGCAAAAAAUGAGUAUUAAAUGUUCAAUUUUUCCAGGUUUUGAAUAGGCACUGCAAAGAAAAAGAAGAAAGAUUUUUCAAAUUUCAAAAUCAAAAGGCAACGCAAAGAAAGAAAUCAUAAUUUCUAUCAGAUCACGAUUUCUAUUCUUGAGCUACAACCUAUUCUUCGAAUUUCCAAGCAACCAACUUGGCUUCCAGUAGCUCCAGUAACAUCCAGCGUCAGCGACCACCAUGCUCCGGCGAACACUUCUUUCCAGCCAUCCCCUAACCUCCAUUCUAUAGCAUUCUUGCACUCUCUUCUAUAAUUGAAAAACCCAACGUGAAACUUAAUUUUAUAUGAAACUAUAUCUAUAAAAAAUACAAAAAUACUCCCGGUGCAUCUAGGCAUGCCUAAGCGUGGAAAAAGCUCAAAUGUGAGGGUUGCUGGCUCCCCUCCCCGCACACCUGAGCAUUUAAAACCUUAUGCUCUAUGAUGAACUGUGAUGUAAUCGUAACAUUUACUCACUACUAGCACAAGAGAUCACUCCGUAGGGUCGGCUGUUCAGAGAUGAACCAUGUAAAAAAAUUGAUGAAAUUAUUAUUUUUUUCAAUAAACGAAUGAAAUUGCCCUGAUUACACUGAAGAUAAAGAAAUAAAAACAUAAGGGAUUUUCCUAUAUAGCUUCAUAUACUAGAGUGAAUUUGUUACUUUGCCGUAGGAGGUUUGUCUCCCAACAUUGUAGAAUAGCUAUCUCCACGGGUGACACCAGUUCUUCCUAUAAAUUUCUGGAUUAUAGGAUAGGCUGGUAUUCCAGUAUAAUUUUUAGGCUCUGAACCAUAUAAAUUUUUGUGUUCUUACUUUUAUUUGUUUCAUUGGUGAGAAAAAAGUUUGAUGAGUAUUCAAAUCAGGGGUUGCUUGAGAUUGACCUAAAGUGGACUGGGUGCUUUUCUCACAUCAAGUGACCUAUUUGGUUUUAACUGAAGAUGAAACAAUUACUUGGAAAUCAAUUUUUACUAUCAUAUAUUUGUUGCCCAAAAUGCAGAGAAAAGCUUUGCUGUCUCUCUGAUUCUUCUAAAUAUCUCUGCCACAGCUUACCAGAGUGUGUCACGAUAUCUAAAUUCUAAUAGCCUAUGACUCCCCAAGAUAAGCCUUGAACAUUCCCUACUUUAUCGAGGACCAGAUCUGUCUUAAGCAGACUCACACGAUCCUGAUAGUAUGACAACAAGUCAGAAUGAUGUCAAUCUAUGAGGUCAAAAAUAUUUGAGUAUUUUAUAAUCUCAUCUAUAGCCUGUAGGUUUUACCAAUCAUUAACAGGUCCAAGUUGAAUAGAGCUGUGAGAGAUAUCUGAGGCUGCCUAGCCAAUAUAGUGAGAUAAAACAAAUACAAUGUAAUUGUGGUUAUUAUUGUGAACUUGUGAAAUAAUUAUAUUAAAAAAAUAUUAUUAGCAUGUACUACUAGUUUACUUUAGGAGUUCAAGACUUCAAGGGUCUCGUAAAUAUUCAUUUUCUAACCUUUUAUCAAAAUUGCCACAUAAUUGGAGGAAAAAAUUUGAUGCAUCUUGAAUUGUUUUCGACGAAUAAGCACCUUUCAAACCUGUCACCAAAGCAAUCAUAUAAAAAAUUUCAAACAAUGAUGAAAAUAUGUUACUUAUGAGUCAUGCUUUAUAUUACGAGUCAUUUUAUUAUUGAGAAACUUAACUACUUCAAAAUAAUAAUAAUAGAAAAGGGUUAUUAGAAAUAAUAAAUAAAAUUUUAAAAUAAAAGGUGGAAGAAGAGGCAGUAGUGAAAGAUCAGAUCUCAGGAUAGUGUUAGCAUGAUCAGACAAAAAAGAUGAGACAGCAAUUGACAACAAGAGUAAAGAAGAGAAAUCACAGUUUAGUCGUGAUUUUCUUUUCUAUAAUUUCUAUUUCAACAGAUGUAAGAAAGAUACAGACCCAGAUCAGCCUAGGAUCACACAGGAAUUCCAGGAACAUGCUCGCAUAUGUGAAUGCAUGCAAAACCUUAGUGGAAACAAAGAAGAUGUGGCAAUAAAAAAUUAUAAAGACGGUGGCAGUCUAAAUUUAUGGGUAACCCCCAAAUCAGUGGGGCAAUUGCAAAUUCCUCUCAACCCUCGUUAAUAAAUUUUAUCAUAUUGCUCAAAGAAAGAGUAAAGAGUAGGUCAUAUUUAUCAAAGGACUAAUGCUUACCAAAAUCUUUGUGAUGUGCAACAUCAUUCAAACCCUGUAUAAGUGGCCCUAGAAUAAACUUUUCAGGUAUUUGUUUCGCAUAGCUUCCGUGAGUUUCCCAAUUGAUGUUUAAAAAAGAUUGCAUAAUCAAACAUCGCACUGAAAUAAAUAUGAAGGAAAAUAUAUCACACACAAGCAUCACACUGAAACAAAAAAAAUUGUACGAGAGUCGAGAAUAAAUAACAACGAUCUUGACUCUUGAGAAUUGAUAAUGAGUGUUAUGCUGAGAGAGAGAGAUCCAAUAAGAGCAAUUUUUAUUGAAAUUCUAUGAGACCUCUCCCUUCAUUACUAUUGUAUUUGUUAAUUGUUACUACUAGUAGAAGGGAUGCCAUUGAGAAUUCAUAAUUAAAGAACAUAUUGGUCAGGGAUUCCUCCUUUUUUAUGAAAGGUAAAUUUUCAUUAGAAAUAAAGUGGGUCUUUCCCGAUAUUACAAGAUAUAGAAAAUAAGGGGGUCCUCUCAGCGUUGCAUCAAUUUACAUAAUUGAUAAAUGACUCCACAAUGUCCAUUACCACCGGAGUAUCAAUGAGAUUUGUGUGCAUGGUUGCACGUUACACAAUGAACUCUCAUUGAAUUAAGCAAUGCUCCCACAUUUGGAAAGUGAGGGACCACUGCAUAUAACUCAUAUUCGUAAGUGGUCUAAUUUUUCCAUACUACUACAAUUCGAACGAAAUAAGGGCCACACUCUAUCUCAGGCUCAGCUUGAUAAGCUUAUCUAGCUUGGAGCCCAGGCUUGAGCUCGAAUCGAUAGGUUCCAAGCUUUUAAAUGCGUGAUUGUGCUGUGCGCCAAGACCUAGUAGGCACGCCGCAGCUGCCAGGGGUGUUUUGGUAAAUCAUUACAAAAAUAUAUAAAUUCCAUAUAUUUUUAGAUAUCCCAUAAUUUAACACAUCAUUCAUGUAUUUAAAUACUACAAAAUAGUCUAUUACAAAAUCAGAUUACGUCCUCUUCUUGGUUUUUUUACGCCUAUAGAAUAUAGAUCACUGGCACAGGCUCAGGUUCACUUCAGCUUCAGGCUUAGUAGUAAAAGGUCAUGAUUGAUGACUCCUAGUGGAUGGCCCCGGGUGAUCAGUUGCUUCAACGGCCCAAAUGAAGUCUUCUUCAUUGUAAACGAAUUCAUUGCAUGCCUCGGGUAUACUGGUCACCCACUAACUUUUGUGGUUGAAUUCAUCAACACGGAUGACGUCAUAUUUCUUUGAACCACUUUCAAUGAAUAGUUGAUUUGUUUUGAACCUCUCUGCCAUCUUCAUAUUGAAGUUGGUGUAAACAAGAUUAUCGAACUACACCAAGGCUAUUUCGACUUUUUUUGUGUAACUGCAAAUAAAAAUUACAAUUAAAAUUCUACAAACUAAAAGUCAUACGACUAAAAUUAAGUAUUCAAAACAGCUUACAUGUGUAAAGUUACUCCAAUUUCUUUCACAACUAGAGGCGGAACAACAUAAACCAAAGAUUCUCAUGGAAAUUGUCUUCAAUUCGGGGGGUUUGCGGCCAAACAAACCCCACCAUUCCAAUGGUUCUAGUGUAGCAGCCAUCCCCUUUGCUUCUUCAGCUCCAAAUCUUCCCAAUCUGUUCUUAUACAAGAACAUGUCGGCAAGUACCUUCAUCUUCAAUUGGAUAUCAUCGACAAUAAUAUUGUCAAGGACAUCUGCAAAAGCCUCCUCAUAUUCAUUGCAUUCAACCGAACUCAAGCGUACCAAACUAAGUUAUGCUAUGUUAACCGAACUCAUUUGCAUGCCUAGUUGUACAUAUGUGGUGUACCAUGUACAUAACUAUUCAGAAACAUAUGUACAUGAGCAUAACUAUCUAGAAACCAAUUAGUUAUUUAAACUCAAUGUACAUAUCUAUCCAAAAUAUUAUGCUAUUUAUAAACUACAAACAUAAAAAUCACAUAAAUAGCUAUUUUAAGCAUAAUAGAGCAAAAAAAUCUUUUAAGAUCUAACCACACAUACCUUGAGAAUUUUCAUGGACAAAACCACGCUCCCAUAGAACAGUUAGCCAAUUAAGCAUUCCAUUUACAGUUUCCAUCUGAAUUUCAUAGCCAUACCUGCCAACUGGAUCGAUAUUGUUUUUGCAUGGCCCAGACUGAAAUAAUAGACGUACCUGCACAAAAAAACAAAUGUAUAUGUUAAAACUUAAAAGUUCCAACAUGAAUCGUAAUGAUUUGGAAAAAGAUAAAAUUCUAUCGAAAUUAUAGAGGAAUCCAAGCUCAGAUUAGGAAUAUAAACUGGAAGCCUUUCGUCCUUAUCUUUAUAUAUCUUUACCAACAACAUCAAGGAGUUGUUGUCUCAAGAAUUUUUUUAAACAAAAUAAAGAGUAGAAAAUGUUUGUCUCAAGAAAUUGGACUGACAAGAAGCCAAGAAGUGGCAAAAUAUUAACUUGUCACAAAAUAUGUUGCAUGUGAAGUACAAAUCACAGAUUUGUUUAAAAAGUUAGUCUCUAAAACAGUGCUUGAGAUUUGAGAAUUAGAGGUGGCAAUAACAGACACGAUUCGUAAAAAAUACGACACGACACGAUUUUAACACGACACGUUCAUAAUAGUGUCGGAUUAGUGUCGAAAGUUUUUACACGAUUAAUAAUAGUGUCGGUUUAGUGUUUGCCUCUAAAAACACGACAUGAUUACACGAAACGUAAAUUGACACGACACGAUACGAUUAUAUGACACGAUAACACGAAAAUAUAAUAUUAUUAAUUAACUAUGUUUAUCGUUUAUAUAAUAGAGGUAAAAUAAUAUUUUUAAAUAAAACCCCUUAAGUUUUAUAUAAAAUAUUUUACCCAUAAAAUAAUAAGGGUAAUAUUAUACGGGGUAAAAUAAUAACUAUAUAAUAAUGAUAAAAUAAUAAAAUGUACCAUAGAUAAUUAUUAUUAUUAAAAUAAUAAAAUAAUUAUUAACAAUAAAAUAAUAGUGUCGUGUUCGUGUCAUGUCAGUCGUGUCGUGUCAUGUUGACACGGAUUCGGUCGUGUCGUGUCCGGGUCAAAUUUUUUUGACACGGAUCGUGUUUUGUGUUCUUGUCAAUGAAAAAAUUAGUCAUGUCAAUCGUGUUCGUGUCGUGUUACACGAAUUGCCAGGCCUAUUGAAAAUAUACUCAUUACCCAAAUGUCCCUCACUAGUCACUUCAACUCCCCAAGUUACAUAUAUGACAAACUUUAAAAUUUAAACAUAAUUAGUUAUGCAUGUUACAAGUUUAGUCAGGAAGUUUAUUUUGAUAUUAAAUUUCUGUUAGUUAUAUGUAACUAUUACUAUUAACCUAGUUCUCUCUUUCAACUGCAAUUCAAUAGAUUUAAAGAUCAUUCCUUUUUUUAAUUAGUAAAUAUUUAUUGAACAUGGGGAUUGAACCCCAACAUCUUGUGUCAUACAAGAAGGUCUGGCCGUAAUUUACUUUCAAGGCCGAGGAUUUUUUUCAUGUAGACAAUAGGCAUAAGAUAGUGUUCAUACAUUGUUUUAAAAUAAUAAAUAAAUAAAAUAUAUUUAAUUGAUUCAUAUUCAUGCAGAAGAAAGAGAGAGAAAUUUACUACAUCAAAUGAUUGAUCCUAAUUGAAAAUAAUGGUGGUAAAGAAGAAGAAAAAUAAAAGAGGUAGACAAUGCAGGUAAGGUCAAAAUGUCAAAAAUUUAAAAGAGUUAAAAGUCACAAUUAAAGAGGAUGGAGAUUGAAUCAUGGAUGUUUUGACUUCUUUCUAAUUUCUAUUAUAGCUCCCUCCCAAUUUCUUUCCAUCUGUUAUUUUUAUUUGAAAUAUAUUUCGAUUUUUUUGAUAGAAUAAAGAUGUCAUUAAAAAAAAUAUUUGGAAAAACAUUUAACAUGAGUGAUAAUGCUAACCUGGUUAGUCCAUGCUGCCUCAACUAAGUGUGUUCCAUACUCUUCAAGCAUUUCAUACAAAAGAAUGAAUGCUUUCCAUCUUUGUAGCCCAUUCCAAUGAUCAGAAAAGUUGUCAAUUUCACCUACAUCUAAUGGCUUGGACUCCUCCUUGGCCCAUUUUCCUUGUCUUGUUUCACCAAACACGUUCUUAGAAGUGAUGUCAACAAUACCAUUAUAAACAAAACUACUGGUACGAAAUUGGCUUGUUUCACGAUCAUGAAGGAUGCCUUCAUUCCUUAAACACAAUUUUACGAUAUGUAACGACAACUUUCUUACCAUUGCAUCAUUAUCAACCUAUACAAAACAAGAAAGAACAAAUAUAUAUUAGCCAUAUAAUACAUGCAAAAUAUUGGAUGAGAAAAAAUUAAUAUUAAAACUGCAGGCAAGUACCAAGCCUUUUCGAAUUUCCUCCCAAAAAAAAUCUUCGGAUCUUAUAUCAAACAUUUCAUCAGUUAGGUCUCGAUUUUCUUUGGCAUCAAUGGAAGAGUUCAAACAUAAGGAAAGUAUGGUGUAUGCAUCAUGUCGUUCAAGUGACCCAAGUGCAAACAGAGACGAACAACAUUUCCAAAUUUUCCUUGAGAAAGAAGACCUACAUAACAAAUCUAAAUGAGCCAGAAUGCCUUUAAGAAGGUUACUCAAAAUAAAACAUAGCCUAAUUGUUCAAAAUUACCAGGAAAGAGCAUAAAAAGACCCCAAUACUUGUACAUUAAAAUUGUAGAUAUAAGUGAGUGCCUUAAAUAUAGCCGGUAGAAGGUAACGAAUAGCACACGAUCGAUGCUCUGUGCACUGAGAAAGCAUAUGGAUGACCAAGCAAGAGAGAUCCCAAAUCAACUUCAAUGAAAAUCCAAUGUCAUCGUUACCAUUCACUUUCCAACUAGAAUUUGCUUGCAAAGAAGUAUCAAGUAGUGAAACUAAGAUGUGACAAGCAACAGGCAAUGGUACUGAGAUAGAAUCAUCCAACUCAUAUUCCCGAUAGCAUAUAGGUGAUUCCCUCUUCCAAUGAAAGACAAAAUCUUCUUCACUUUGAGUCAUGCCGAUAUAAAUACCGAUAGACCUCAGACAAAACAACACAAGUGUUUCCUCCAUGAGUUUCCAAGACUUUCUAUGCAAAAUAGCUUCACGCAUCAUUUCUUCAAUCUAUGAUGUCGGUAUAUUAGAAAUAAACCCAUGAUAGAAGAAGAUGAAAAAAAAAUCUAACAAAAAAUACACGAUUAUUCUCUUUAUUUCUCACUUGUGUUAGCAAUUCUUUGUCAUCUACACUUGACAUCUUAAAGAUUGGUAUCAACCCUUUCCAGAUCAAUAGUGAUAGCAUAUCACUUCCUGUUUCUAAUUCAUAAAAAGAACAGGAAAAAUCAAAUAAACACCAGAUAAUGCAAAAACACAGUCCUGGUUAUAAAUUACCCCAAUCUCACCAGUGAUCCUCUUGACGAGGUGAAACAGAGCGGCGACAAAUGAGACAAUUUUCAUCGGCUGACUUGAAUCCGAAUUCCACCCAUCCUAAUCCAUCAAAAAGAAGGAAAAGAUAAUAUAUCAAUAAAAGAACUUUUUUAUAGUGUAAAUUGGAAUAUAAAAAAACUUGUCAAGUCAUGUUGAGUAAGUCACCUGCAGGAUGCACGGAAGAAUGUCUAGAAGCUGUGAAAAGAGCUGAGAAGCGGAUAGUGUGGUAGAAGAUGCCAAUACACAGUCAACAAUAGCUGGAAUCGCCGCCGGUGGGACGAGGGCGAAACUUUUGAUUAAGGAAUCGACGUAAACAGAAGCCAUGACAGAAUACGAAGAGGAAAUGGCGGCAAAAAAGUGGAGGAAAUGGCACAAUAAACCCUAAUCAAUAAUUUUACACUAGGAUCCGAGGUUUUUGACUUUUUGCACUUUAUUUUCUUUUUUCAACAAAUGAAAUUUUCAUUAUUAAAAAUUAAUAAAUAUAAAAUAAAUUUCAUGGAAACCCUUCAGCCUAAAACGCUCAUAAAAUAUUGAUCUCGCAUUUAAAAAAAAAUAGUAGACUUUGGGAUUAGCGUAAGAUUGAGAGAGAGAAAUCAGAUAAAAUAGAUGGACGAUCAGGAUUUCAUGAAAAAUUUUGGACUUACCUAAGACGGGUUCAUCUGAAAAUUAUUUUACAAAUAUAAACAUGCAAACAAAUCUAAAUCUAAAUAUGUGAUUAAUUAUAAAUCUUUUCGAAUAGUAGCUUGGUGGAUAGGCUAAAGGAGAACGAUGCUGUUAAGAAAAAGAAGAUGGUGAUGGUGAUGAUACUUUAUUGUUAAUACUCAUAUGUUUAUAUACUACUUUACAAACUCAAUUAGCUUAACUAAUUAGUUGUUAGUUAAGUAACUAACUCUCUUUAUUCAUACUAACAACACGCCCCCAUCAAACCUGUCGGAAGUGCUCGAACGAGGUUGAUUCGUAGAUUCUCAAAUGGUCCUGAUUUGAGUGCCUUGAUGAGUAUGUCGGCUUUCUCCUUUCUCUGUCUUUUAACGAAUGAAAUGCAGGUCCAUUGCGACGUGACGAAGUUUGGUAUGGCAGAUCGGAUUGUUUGCCACAAAUGUCGCUCCCUGAUUGUCACUUCGGACCUUCAUUGGCAUUGGAACAAUUACUCGUAGUUCUGUCAGAAGAACACGAAUCGAUUCUAGUUCUUCUAUCAUGGUCGCGAUCGCCCGGUACUCUGCGUCUGUGCUCGAUCGUGCGACUGUGUUCUGCUUGCGGGAUGACCAUGUUACCAAUGUGUCACCCAAGUAUGCUAAUAUUCCCGUUUGGCUUUUUCUAUCCACCGUAUUCCCUCCCCAAUCCGAAUCGCAAAACCCGGUUAGCUUGAAAUUUGUGACCAUGUUUAAUGUCAUGGAUUAGGUUCCGACGAGAUAACGUAGUACUUUCUUCAUUAUCGUCCAGUGAACUGGCUUAGGUGAGCUCAUCAAUUGGGCUAAUUUAUUCACCGCGUAUUGGAUGACACGUCAAAAUCAGAUAUUGAAGGGACCCUAUGACUCGCCGAUAUUCCUUAGCCUCUGUAAUUGGUUUUUCUUCUGAAAACAAAUCUUGUUGAACUAUCAUUGACAUAGUUAAAGGUUUUAGAUUUGUUAGAUUGCAACUUCCCAGUAGGUUUAUUAAGUAUUGUUGUUGAGAUAAGAAUAAAGAUUCACUGCUCUGUAUGCCCAAAAAAUAUAAUAAUUCCCCAAGUUCUUUAAUGACAAACUUUUGCCUUAAUUUUCCGAUUACUUCCUUCACCUUCUUCUCCGUCGAACCUGUUAUUACUAUUUCGUCGACGUAGGCGAAUAAAAAUACCGUGCUUUCUUUCUCAAAUAGCAAAAAUAGUGAUGGGUCGGAGUAACUCUCCUUGAACCCAAUCCCUAUUAGAAAAUCCUUCAACCGCCGAUACCACAUUCGAGGAGACUAUUUUAAACCGCAAAGAGAUUUUUGAAACAAGCAAACCUGAUUUAGAUGUUGGGGAUCCUCGAAUCCGACGGGUUGAGUCACCACUAUACGUUCAUCAAGUUUUCCGUGGAGAAAUGUGUUGGACACGUUUAUCUUAUUAACCAAUCGAUGAUUGAUUGGAGAUAAUCGGAGACUGAGAUCGAUGAAUUGAAUGAUCUGUAUUUCAAGUGAUGAUAAUGUUGAUUUACAUUGUAUAUUUAUAAUAUUGUAUAUAGUUGUUAUCUAACUAAUAACAACUAGUAGUAGGAUAGUUUAUUAUCUAACUAAUAACAAUUAGUAGUGGGUUGUUAUCUAAACGGAUUCUGUCUAAUCCGUAACACCCUCCUCAAGUGGAGCAGGAGUUCUGUCGAGCACUUGGAUGCAAAAGCUUCAAAUGCAGGUCUUGGAAUUAGAUUAGGCAUGCGCCUUAGUCAGAAGGUCUGCAAUUUGAUCCUGUGUACCCACAAAUCUUACUUCCAAUGUUUUCUCCAUUACUCAUUCCCUUACAAAAUGGUAGUUCAUAUCGAAGUGUUUGGAUCUCAUAUGGUGACUGAGAUUUCUGGAAAUUGCAAUUGCCCCAGAGUUAUCGCACCAUACUGUAAUCGGGAGAGACACCGGACUUUCCAACUCAAACAAUAGUUGUUUAAUCCAUUCCAGUUCAGCAACAGUAUCUGCCACACUCCGAUAUUCAGCCUCGAUAGUUGAUCUGAUCGACCAUCGACGAUUGCUUCUUGGAGCUCCACGAAAUCAGAUUCGAACCUAAGUAGAUUAGGUAUGCUCCUUGGCUACGACUAUCCCGAUAGUCUCCCUCCAGUCUGCGUCAGAGAUUGCGGUGAGAGUCGAUAGGCUUGACCUUAAUUGAAAACCGUAAUCUUCAGAAUAACGCUCUAGACACAAAACGUAAAAUACGUUUUACUACUUGCCAGUGUAUCACCGUUGGUUCUUGCAUAAAUUGUGAGGUAUUGAAGUGCACCGACAACUUGUCUGAAUAAUAUAGGUGAUUCAAAAUGUGUCGCAGGUUCAUACAUUUUCAAUCGAGGAUCCAUGGGUGUGGUUGUUGGCUUGACGUCUGAUAGGUCAACCUUUUUUAAGAAUCGAGUGGACGUAUUGAUGUUGUGUUAAAAAUAAGGAACCAUCUUUGGCGCGAUCAGUGUCAAUGCAUAAAAAUGAUGUAAAUCACCGAGGAUUUUAAUCGAAAAUAUCUUUGUUAAGCGAUCAAUUAUUUUCUGAGCAAACUCAUCUGAAGAACUUGCCAGAAUUAUAUCGUCAACGUAGACGAGAAAUAAAGCUUCAAUUCUGUCUUCCUUGUAAAUAAAAAGCGAGUGAUCACUUUUGCUUUCUGUAAAUCCCAGUUGAAUCAUAACAUCUCAGAACCGUUGAAACCACGCCCUCGGAGAUUGUUUUAGUCCGUCACUACAAGAAAACUGGGCUACGCCCACGGGAUUAGCCACGGCCAGUAGAAGCCGUGGCUAAUUUUUUAACAUUAGCCAUUAAAUUAUGCCGUGGCUAAUUUUUUAACAUUAGCCACGGAAUAUAGCCGUGGCUAAAAUAAAUGGCCUUGGCUAAUAUUUAGCCACGGAAAUGGUUUUCCGUGACCAAAAAUCAGUAGCCACCAGACCUACAGCCACGGCACCUCCCGUGGCUAAUUCCCGUGGCUAAAUCAAUUUAGCCACGGAUUUUGCCAUUUAGCCAGUAAACUUGGCCGUGGCUGUUUCCUGUUUUCUUGUAGUGCGUAGAUGGACUUUUUCAAUCGACAAAUAUGUGUGAGAAGUUCUUGAUUUACAAACCCCUUCGGUUGCUUCAUUAAUACCUGUUCAGAAAGAACGCCAUGGAGAAAAGCGUUCGUGACGUCUAAUUGUACAAUUUUCCAACCUUUAGACACAGCUUGAGCAAGGUGCAAUCCUUACAGUUACAGGCUUCACCACAGGUGUAAAAGUCUCACCGUAAUCAACCCCAUUUCUUUGUCGAUAUCCGUUUGCUACAAGACGCGCUUUUCGUCGAACGAGUUUUUCAUCAGGGCCUAGCUUGUUUCGGAAGAUCCAUUUACAUGAGAGAACAUUUUGAUCAGGGGACCUUGCAACUAGUUCCCACGUUUCAUUUUCCAUUAAGGCGUCAUAUUCAUCUUUCAUGGCUGCUGACCAAUGUUGGUCUUCUAGAGCUUUAAUCGCACAUGAGGGAAUAGAUGGAGGAGAGGAGACUUGACAGACAUAUUUUGGAUUCGGCUUUCGAAUUCCGAUUUGGGACCUUGUGAGCAUAUCAUGUCGACGAAGAUUGGGAACCUUGUUCGAGCCAUCUAUGUCAAGCAGUUCUCCUGUGGCUGCCGUGUCGAUGACCUGAGUCGGCGGUGCAUCAUGUUGAGGAGUAUUAGGAAUAUUUUCCUCGAUGAUGGAUGGAGCACUUGUGAACUCUGACUUGAUUAUUAUUAAUUUUUGACUUUGAUUAAAAUUAUCUUCAAAAAAAUACACAAUCACGUAAAAUAAUAAUUUUUUCAGAUUUUGGAUUAUAAUAAAUAUACCCUCAGUGGUGUGAUGGAUAUCCGAGAAAAAUAUAGGGAUCCGUUCGAAAAGAAAAAUUAUUCUUCAGGAUCGGUCUCAAAUUAGGGUAGACGAGAAAACCGAAUACCCGAAUAUCUUCGUAAUUUGGGGACGAGUUGAACAUUACUUCAAACGGUGAUUUUCCGACGAGCGUAGAUGUCGGCGUUCUAUUAUAAAAAAACGCAACAGUGUGAAACGCGUACUGCCAGAACCGGAGAGGGAGAACACUGUGAUGCAGAAGUACGAGUCCAAUGUCAACUAUGUGCCUGUGCCGUCGCUCGACUGUACCCAUCUGAGCGUGGGCAUAUGGGCAGGAGAAUCGGUGUUUGAUUCCUGCUUCAGUAAUACAGGACUUGCUUCGAGAAGAUCCAGCCAAGAAUUAUUUGAUCUUGUUGAAUUUUGAUGUCGUUGUCUAAAAUGAUCAAGCCUUCAAUGUAUGGGAGAAGGUCAUACCCGCGUAGCAGCGUCUUGACCUGCGCUUGCCAAUUGAAGAAGUUGUCGCUAGUAAAUUUUUCGGUGCUUAGUUGCUUGAUCUUUACUAGCUUGACCUGCCGUAGGGUGCUGUUGGUGGAAUCGGUUGCCAUCACUGAUCAUUGGAGCAAGAACCUUGGAGGAAGAAGAGCUGAAAAUGAUCAACGACUCAAGCGACCCAAGAUCGGAGAGUCGAUCCAGCGUCUGAUACCAUAUUAACCAAUCAAUCAUUGAUUGGAGAUGUAAUAACCAGUGAUUUUGGGUAACCGGUUAUUAAUUGUAGGUAACCCGAUUAAGGGUAAAAACGUAAAAACAAUAGGAAUAUAAAAAUAAAAUGAUAGAAAGGAAAGAGGGAAAAACGGAAAGGGAACACGGAAGGAGGAAGGCGGCUAGGAGAAAGGGAGGACGGCUAGGGCAUCGUGGAUGGGAUCAGUAAGGGAGCACCUGUGUCGUGGUGUGGUAGGUGUGAGGUUCGACUAGCAACGGAGGAGGUAUGUAGAGUGUGAAAUUGUUAAAAAGAGAUGUUCAUGGGAAAUGGGAACGAAAGGGAAGAGGGUGAGUGAAGGGAAGAUGGAACGAGUUCAAUCGGAAUGGGUUCAAUCUGGACGAACUCGUCCAUCCUCAACCUUGCCUUCACAUAAACAGGGAUCCUAUGUUUUGGACUCCUGAUCUACGUUUUGGACGAAUCCCUGAAAUUAUUUAUAUUAUUUUUUAAUUAAAUCUGAUUGAUCCUGAUCUAUGUGUUGGAGGAACUCCUGAAAAUAAUUAUAUUAUUGAUUUUGAUUUAUGUUUUGGCUUAUGGACUUUUAAAUUACAUUAUACUGAUUCACAAAUCACAAUGAUAGAUAGAUAUCAAAUCGAUUCUUCCCUAUCGUUUAUGAGGAUAAAUAGGGUGAUUCUUAUGGUUAUGAUAUUAAAUUGAAUUGAUUUAUGGUUAGUAAUAUUAAAUCAUCAGAUUCUUAUGCUAGAUCUGACGAUUCUUAUGUUUAUGAUGUUAGAUCUAAGGAUUAUUUAAUUGAUUUUUAUGUUAAAUUUAAUGAUCCUUAGCGCUGAUGAUAGAUAUCACCUUCACUGAUCUUGAAGUGUAUUGCCUUAUGAGUUGUUAAAGUCAGUGAUAUUGAUUGCAUGAUAACCUAUGAUGAUUGAAGACUGUUUUACUUAACUGAAGGUAUUGCUGAUUUAUAGAUGAUAAUAUGAUCAGGGAAGGGGUUACGUAUUUGGUUGCAUGAUAACCUAUGAUGACUGAAAACUGCUUUACUUAACUGAAUAUAUUGCUGAUUUAUAAAUGAUAAUAUGAUUAGAGGAGGGAAUACAUAUUUGAUUGCAUAACAAUCUAUGAUGACAAAAACUGAUUGAAUUAAUUUGUUAAUAAGUUGAAUAUGCUAAUAGUUUGAAACAAUUAUGUGAUUGUGAUGCUAAUUCGAAGUAGUGCUAUGACUGAACUUGUUUUGCUUAAUUGAGUGUAUUGUUAAUUUAAAAAUGAUAAUAUAAGGGAGGGAUUACAUGAAUGUGAGGAGACAAGGGUAGAAAUGCAUGUGUAAACGAGUUAAGGAUUGAAUAAAUGAAUAAAUGGAUGAGUGAGUGCAUGAAUGAACGAACGAAUGAACGGAUGAACGAACGGAUGAACGAAUGAAGAAAUGAAUGAAUGCAUGAGUGACAUAUGACCGAGGUGUUUUGACGCCUAACCAAAGGUGAAUGAUGACCCAUAAGGGUCUUAUGAAUGAUGAGUGAUUGAUGAACUAGAUUAAGGGUUUACUUGCUUGUUUAUCAUGUGAAUCCUUACUGAUUGUAGAGUUAAAUGGCUUGAUUAUUUAAGACAUGUUGGUAUGGAUGUUUUACAUACUGAGUGAUGAAAUCACUCACGGAUAUAUACAAUAUUGCAGGGAAUGGAGACAGUCUUGCCUAACUGGAAUGGUAGGAAACAAAGGACUCGUCGAGACGACGAGACUCACUUGCGUAAAACAUAAACUCUUAUAGUCAUUGUUAUUCAUUUUGGGAUUGUAAUAAACAUUAUCUUAAAGUUCUUAAAGGCUGAAUCUUUUAGAAUAUUUGUUAUAUUCAAAUUCUGUUAGGAGAACUUGAUAUUAUAAGUCAUUUGAGUGUAUUAAAACUCUGUGUGGAGAACAGAGUUUUACAGAAGAUGAUGGGAGACUGAGAUCAAUGAAUUGAAUGAUCUGUAUUUCAAGUGAUGAUAAUGUUGAUUUACAUUGUAUAUUUAUAAUAUUGUAUAUAGUUGUUAUCUAACUAAUAACAAUUAGUAGUAGG
rnacentral:lncRNA from 1 species